GGAAGAGGCCACGCGUGAGCAUGUCAGGCAAAUGGUGCACGAGACCUGGAAGAGGAUGAACAAAGAUGUGUUUGAGGACUACCCAUAUUCUGGGUUCGGGCCUUUUCUCGGCGCUUGUCUGAACUUGGCAAGAGCUUCUCAGUGCUUUUACCAGUACGGAGACGGACACGGCCUUCCUGACAACGAAACAAAGGACCACCUUGUGAGGGCACUAUUCGACCCUGUGCCCCUCGAUUAGGGAUGCAUAUUACUGACAGAGGUGUCGCUGUUGGAGAGAACCUAUUGACUUAUGUGUUAUUAUUAGCUUUUGGGGUGGGCGGCUUUGGAAGCUUUAAGACUUUGAAACUGUUGUAAUUGAAGCCUAUACGAUAGAUGGGCGUUGUACGAGCUCCAUAAAAUUCGCUGGGGAACCUCAUGCUAUUUGGGACUUUGAGUUGUGGUUGAUAUACAUAAUUGAUAAUAAAAUUUGUGGUGAUUAUUGAUACUUAAUUUUUAGUUGACGUGUCGAAAAGGUAAAAAAAUUGAGAUUUGGGUUUCCGAUUGCGAUGGAGCCCGUUUCUCACUAAAAAAUAUUGUUUCUCAUUUCUUUAUUUUGUAUCGUUAUUUUUAAGCAAUUUCCAAUUCAUCUUCGAGAAAAAUUCAAAAAGUCAAAUGGUUGAUUUUUGAGUUGACUUUUUGGUCAAUUCUUUGAUCAAAAGUUAAUCCCAAGUUGAAAAUUGACUUUUCACCUAAAUUUCACUUUCAUAAAAUCAAUUUUUCAAAAACUCAAAGAUUUGACCAAAAAAUCAACAUUUAAAAAAAAAUCAACUAAAUAAUUGACUUUUGGUCAAACAUUUGAUUAAAAAAUAGAAAAAACAAAAAAUCCAUAAAAACACUUCUUUUAGUGUAAAUUUGAUUUGUAUGUUGAAAAUUUCACAAAAUUCAACUUGUUUUCCAAUUUUUUUUAUUUUUGGUUCUAAAUUGUCCAAAAAUGAAAUUAGUUUUAUUCUAGUUACAGUUAGGUGUAGUUCCUUUUACGGCAUUUGUUCUAGGGACUAUUUUAAACCCAUUUGUUCACUUGAUUUUGUGGCCCUUCUCACUUGUCAGCAUAAUUUCUGAAGAGUUGAUCGUCCGAAUUUCUUCUACGUCAUUAAAUGCAUGCACAUGGCCAUGUGCAUGCAUGCCCGUAGAAAAAUUGUGCUGCCUCAUAAGCCUAUCGUGUAGGCGCCGAAUUCCCUCUCUUCUUGGUCAUCUUUUGUGGGCUUCUCUUGUUUUAUUAUUAAUAAAGAAAGAGGGAAGGCAGAAGCUAUUCUCCUUCUGCAUGGUCAUACGCGCACACUCUCAUUAAUUGCAUGGAGGCGCAUGCUUUGAAGAUCAGCGCCGUUCUGACAAUUCCGGAGUACAAUUUUGUUUUGUUUUCUUCCCUGCCACCAAUAAAAAGGAGAGAGAGAGAGCUUCGGAGGACGAAGCAGCGGCAAAGAAAAGAGCUUGAGAGAGCAGCGAAAAGAAAGAGCUCGAGAGAGAGCGAGAGGCGUGAGCUCAGAGGCGUGAGCUCAGAGAGGUUUGUGCGUAGUCGAUUCCAUUGAGCUGAGUUGUUAAACACCGUGGGUAUCGGAUAUAAAGUAGGGCUGAGAAACACUUGACUGUAUGAGUGAUUCUAAUUUUGUAAUUCUCGGAUUAUAGUUGAUUAUUUUGCUGAUUCUCCUCGUGGAUGUAGGUUUCAAUAUUCGGAUUGAACCACGUAAAUUUCUGAUGUCCUUUUUUAUUGUUCCUUGUUUUAUUUUUGACGAUUUCUAUAGCUCCCGACAUAAUUGCAAAAUAGACGAUCCGCUUCUGCUGUGAUGCCGAUUCAAACAUCGGCAAUCCAUGCAAAAAAAUGUGAGAGAACGGGACAAGAGCUGGGCACCGAAAAAAAGGUCAGCGGGGGCUUCCUACCCGACUCAGGGGUGGCGAACGAUGGGCAAGAUCAAUAGAUCAGACUACGUCUAGUCGCCUUGCACGCCCCCGAGCCGGGAUCCUUAGGAAAUCUACAUGGAUUGAACCAAAAACUAGAAAACUCAACUGAAAAACUUGAAAUCGAGGCAAGGGAAGCCGCAUCUUGUUGGUUCUGGAUAGGAGGCGCAACCUCACGUUGGGGACAUCGGGGGUGGCUAAGCAACGCUCGGCUAAGGUGGAUUCCAGGUCUCCCUCUUCUCGGUCACUCCCCGUUUCUCCCCCCUGGGGCUCCCUCAAGCUCUCUCCCGUCGCCCUCCUCUCCUUCGGGUCUCUCUUGGUCGCCCUCUCUCUGAUUCACUCCCCUCUCGGUUCCCCUCUCUCCCUUCUUCUCCUCUUCCACUGCUCACCUACUGUCCUCUCUGCUCUCUGCUCCUAUCCCCUCCUUUGCUCUUCCUUUCUGCUCCUGUCCCUUCUCCUUUGCUGCCUUGCUCUUCCUUUCUGCUCCUGUCUUUUCUCUUCUUCUUCCUGCAGGUUUGCGCGCGAGCUGGAAAUUGAAGAGGAAGACCGGUUGGGGUGGACUGGGCCAAAGGAGAAGAAAAAUAAUGAUGGGCUAGGCCUAGCGCAUGGGAAAAAGAAAAGGAGGCGGGCCGGGCCAAGGUCGGAUCCAGCCUGACCCAACCCCUAAGUGUUUUUCUUUUGUUGUUUUUGUUUUUUGUUUUUUGUUUGUGUUUGUGUUUUUGUUUUUGUUUGUUUGUUUGUUUGUUUUUUUUGUUUAAAAAUAGGUGUCAACAAAAGCCAAACGAGGAGAGGAGCCGAAGAAGAAGACUGCAGUUUAGCUUCGGCUUCAAUCGACUUGAACAACAAGAAGGCCUCGAAAGCAUAUCGAGAGUCAAAGUGACGCUUGCUAAGCCCUCAUAAUUUUUUCCUUUGUUUCUAUGAGAAUUGAUGGGAGACUUUUUGAUUUUGCUUGAAUUACAAAUUUCAUCAUAUGUUUAAGAAUAUAUAAAUAUUAAACCACUCUCACAAAAUGUAACAUGAUAUCAAAACUGGAGCGAUCCCUUUCAUGAAUGUGUAUCCAACCUCAUCAAUCAAAUUUCACAUGCCAUGGUCUAAAUGUCACGUGCCACUCAUAAUUAGACUUGCAGGUAAGAAAAAGGUGUUGAAACAUGAGGGGGGUAGCCCUUCCCCAGUGUCUCACUGAAGAACAAUCAAGAGAAGUUGCACUAACUCCUCUAGCCAUAGUGAAGAGAUUGUUUGAAGAGCUAUAUCGUGAGUCACAUGUUGAUGUAAUCAAGCUGAUCAUCACCAAUGCUAUGUGUGAUGUUUUGUCGAGGCUAGGAUCAUCUAAUCAGCCACCAUUAGCCAAUCUAGUUGUAAUAGAGUAUGUUCAUAAUCCCUCAUGAUUUGUUGGGGCCAAUAAUAUUCAUCAGAGUAGCCAACCCUUCAUGAGAAUUAUGCAAAGGUCCAUUCUUCUAAUCAAAGUCACAAUAAUGAGAAUAAUCAAGGAAAUAUUAGUCAAAAUAAUCCAACUAGUGACGGAAAUUUAACAAAUCAAAUUGGUCAAUAGGUUAUUUAAUUGCCAAAUGUUGAAGAUGUAAGGCCAAUUUCCACCCACUAUGAAUGUUCCAUGUCAAUUAAUGUUGAUAAUCUGGCGAGACUAACGUCACUGCCUAGAAGGCAAAAUUGCCAACCAAAUCCACAAUUUGUCGAAGAAGUUCAACAACGAUUAAGGUUAAACAAGGGUGUUAUCAUUACCUGUUUGCAAGUAACACAAUUAGCAACUCUUAUCCAACUCGACCUAAUCUUGACCCAACUUGGUUCUGAAUUUUACCAUAGUAAAAAAACCAAUCAAUUAAAAGGAAAUUAAGAGUGCAUUUGUUUUGUGGAAUAUGAAUGAUUUGGAAAUCAUUUUUCCAUAAAUGAUUGCUUAUAUUGCUCAAAAUAAUUAGUUACCUAAAAAUAUGUUUAUAAUCAAUAAUUUAUGUCUAAAUUUUUUAAUGAUAACACUUUUCAUUAAUUUAUUUUUCCAAGCAAUACAAGUAACCAUUUUUUAGCAAAAUAUUUUCCAAAUUAUUCAUUUUUUGCGAAACAAAUGGAGCUGAAAUAUGAAAAUGAAUUAGCAAAUAAGUAAUUACUCAAAAAAGCGAUAAGUACGUUAGGAGUGCCAUAAUUUUCGUAUAAUACUCGCUUGAGUAUUAUAACUUAUUUUUCAUUCACUUGAGUCCACAAAAAAAAAAAAAAUCGAUCACUCAAGUGUCGUCGGUGAUUUGCCUCAUCGAAAAAGCUUAUGUGACAUUAAUUUAUUAUACAUCAUUCGACGUGACAUGUUGUAAAGUUGAAGCCUGCACUUGAGAAGGCAAACGGUGUUGUUGAAGUUCCAAUGAUUUCAUAAAGUCACAAGUUUUUAGAAAUGAACACUAAGGUUCAUCAACUUUUUUAAAAGUGACCACUUAAGUGAUAGGAAGAGAUAGAGUUUGAAAAUGGCAUCAUUUGAGGAAGAGAAAGAGUUUGAAAACAAUGUCAUCUAAUUGGGGAAGAUUUUAACAAAACAACAAUAAAUGACACCGUUUGUUAUAUUCUUGCCGUGAUGGACAAAAAUUUCCAAGUUAGACUUUAGUCUAGUUUUAAAAAUUUCACGCCGGAAUGGUAAAUUAUAAAAAAAAUUCAUGCAAGACAAUUUGCCCUUGCUGAAAAUGACAUUCAAGUAAUCGAUUUUAUAUCGAUGUGGCAUUCAAACUAGUGAAAAAGGUUACUUCUAGUUUACUUAUUCCACUAAACAAUUGUCAGAUUUCAAGCUAUUAGGACAAAUAUGCCGUUAUUUCCUAUAGUAUUAGAAAUUUGGUCUGAUUUCUCCAAAGCGGUCAUACCUAGAAAGAUACGUCAAAAGGGAAAAUGCACGUGAAAAAACAAGCACACUCUCGAGCAUUAGAUAUAUAGAGUCCCAUAUAGUAUCUUUUUAACCCCCUUCAAGUGCUAAUAUUCCAUCAACAAAUUUUAGUGACUUUCCUCGUUUAGCUCUCACAUAUUUGAAACCGUUAUUGUUAUCACCCAACUCCUUCUUCUGGUGGUGGUCACUUAAAAUACUCACCCUGGAGAAAUGAUCAACGCAAAAUGAAUCGUUCGUUAUACAUAUACUAAUUGCAGGCCUUAAAAAAGGGAAAAUAAAAUAAAAAGGAUGGUGACAAUCAAUGGAUUUAUUUUUUGAAACUUUAUACUUGGCCACAGCACCGAUUGAUUAUUAUAUACUAGUUUGGUGUUGUGUGCCGGCCAUAUAUGUUACAUCCUCUAAAAUUCCGUCAAGACCCAAUCCGAUCGAACUUUAAUUUCUUAAACUCAUUUUCAUCUGGCCUUUUAAAAUGUUUAAACAACCCAUAUACAACUUGAUUGUAAGAAUAUGAGUCAAAGAAUGGGUUUAUGACUGGUUCCGACACCUCUAGUUUUGAAGCACGACGUUUGCAUUCAUCCAAAUUAAGCAUGGUGUGUUGAGGACAGCUGUUUUGAAACCAAAUAAAAAAAGAAGAAGAUAAAUUGCAAUGCUCAGAGAAUAGCGUGAGUAAAAAUUUGCACUGAAAGCAACUAAAAACUUUUUCCGUGACAGUUUCCACAACAACCCCUAUAUAAAGGAUGGUUAGCAUACGAAGAGACUUGCAAUAAACUUCACAAUGGCUCUUCCUGUUCUGUGCCCAAGCUUCCUUCCCUCCUCGAUCCGCCAUAAUCAACCCUCUCUCUUAUCCUUUCGACACCUUCGCUCCUCCUCCUCCUCCUCCUCCUCUGCCUCCAUCUCCUCCGGCGCUCAAUUCAUGACAUGCGCUUUGAAGAUUGAAGAUCAAGAGAUUGCGAGAUGUUCGGAAAAUUGGCCACCUAGCGUUUCGGACUAUGGCCUUGUGCAGUCACUUAAUGUUGAUUACCCCGUAAUGAUUUUCUUUUUUCGGCACAAAACCCAGCCUAGUUUAAGUACUCUGGAAAAUAUUCACAUUUAGUCCUGAAUUUGCAUUCUUUUUCCUAUUUGGUCCUCACUUAGAAAAAUUCUCUAUCAAACUUUUUGGUCUAUGGUUCUGACAAUUUGAAGCUCAUGUCCAUGUCAAUGCUAGCUGAAAAUAUAAUGUGGAAAAACUCGUCACUGUUGUGGAUAGUCAAUUCGCCAAACUACAAAAACAAUAACUCAAGACAAAUUUAAGCAAAUUUCACUAACACUUCAUUCCAUAUUGGCACUGAUUAUUUGAAUAUUAGACUUCUGUUGGCAUCGAUUAAUACGUCGGCUUCACUUUGCUGUGUUCAAAUUUUAAAUUACCACGUUGACCAAAAAAAAAAAAAAAAAAAGAACAUAAGUUCGGUGAGCGAAGUGCACUUCUUCCCUAUUUCCUGUUUACUUUGAUGGGAGGGUCCACAAAUUCCAGAACGACAUAAAAACAAAAGAAAAACUGUACUUUGAAUUAGAUAUAUUGAUAUAUACUUCUCAUGUGUACUUCUGUAUAUGAUUUAUAUAUGACAUUCGAGAUACGUAACACACACAUUCAUCCACUGCCACGGUAUCAAAUUUACGAGCAACCACAACAAUAUUAUAUAGGAGAUAUCGAUAAACCUGGUCAAAAGGCAUAUUUUCAACAUAUAGCAAGAGCUCAACAGUGCCUAUUCAAAUGUUUUGGCAACUAUAUUGAGAAUCGAUCUGUUUCAAUACGAGAGGCGAUAUUCAAGUCUGCUUGUGCAUUAACUUUGAUUAAGAUCUCAUGUUUCUGAGUUUUCUUGUGCCUAGGAGAGUAAAUAUACGGAGCAAGUUCAAAGGUUGAAGAAAGAAGUCAAGGGUCUAUUCGACGGGGAAAUGAAUCAGGUGGCCAAGCUCGAGUUCAUUGACAUGGUUCAAAGACUUGGACUAGGAUAUCAUUUUGAGACCGAGAUCAACAACGCUUUAUGUUCCAUCUAUAACAACACUGAAGAUCCUUAGCUUUCGAAUGAUCUCUAUGCCGCUUCCCUUUGAUUCUGGCUACUUAGACGACAUGGAUACAAUGUGCCACAAGAUACUCACCAACUAGUUUACCUUUUGUGAAUCAUGUUGACGCAUCAAAUUUUACCCUACCAUUCCUUCUCUUGGACAUAUAUAGAUGUGUUUGAAAGGUUUGUGAGCAAGACUGGCACAAGGAAUGGCUCAAUGAAGAUGUGAAGGGGCUUCUUGGUCUUUAUGAAGCUUCUUUUCAUGGAUUGGAAGGCGAAACCAUACUUGAUGAAGGUUGGAACUUCGCUUCUAAGCAUCUAAAGGAUCCAAACCUCAAUGAAGUUCCCACUAAUUUAGCGAGCAAAGUGCAUCAUGCAUUAGAUAUGCCGAUCCACUAGAGCCCAAACAGGUCAAAGGCCUGGUGGCUCAUGGUCAUGUACGAGAAAAAGCAAGACAUGAUCCCCUCUUUAUUAACAUUGGCUAAAAUAGACUUCAAUUUAGUGCAGUCAAUCCACAAGAAGGAAGUCAGCAUUCUGACAAGGUAUGCACAAGCACUCUAUAGUUCAUAGAUGCAAUCUGGCAAAGUAGGAGCACAUGUUGAUUGACUCACUCAUCAAAUGGCAAAUUUUUCAGGUGGUGGGUUGAACUUGGGGCGGCCAAGAUGACCUUUAGGAACAGGCUAGUGGAAAAUUAUUUUUGGAGAUGUUAUUUGUUUUUGAACCUCAAUAUACAGCUUUCAAAGAAUUGAGUUCAAAGAUCAGUUGUAUUGUGACACUUAUUGAUGACGUUUAUGCUAUAUAUGGGACACCAUAAGAGCUUGAGAUCUUAACAAAUUUCAUUAUCAGGUUUGUGUAAUGUCACCAACAUCAUUGUUUUCCCUCGUAACUGUUAUUGCCAAGAAAAGAUACAGGGAAUUAGUUAGUCUAUGAACAGGAUGCCUAUAACAAAUCCUAAAAAUUAUUUAUUAUGAAAUUAAUUCUUUGAUGUGUUUUUCCCAUAUCAUGUUUUGUAUCGGCUUGUUUGUCUUCUAUGUAAUUGAUUGGUUUCGGCCAAUAAAGUUAUGGUAUGCACCAAUUUUAUUUGUUACUUCUAAAAAGUGUACUGAGUAACAGCAAAAUUUAUAAGGUUGUUGAAAUGGCAAUAACUUGUCAAUAACUUGUUGAGGCGGGACAUUACAAACAUUGAUGAGCUUCCUCCAAUCAUAAUGCUCGAGAGUGUGCUUGUUUAGACAAUGAGAGAAUGAGGAAUCAAUCCCAUCCCUUACCUAUGGAAAUUGGUAAUAUCGACUUGCUAAAUCUUUCACCUAAUAAUUUCUAGCACGUGCGAAGCAACUCAUUUUUCUACUUCUAACUUUCCUUAUGACUUGUCUUUGAACAUAGAGAAUUCGUGAAAGUAUGAGAAAAGAACCUCCCUCGACUAGGUCAAUAACACACUUUCGAAUUUUAGUUCUAUAGUGGGCCAAUGAAUGCAAGGCGUACAUGACGGAGGUCUAUUGGUACGACAAGGGUAUUAAACCGACAUUGAAGGAGUAAAUGGACGUUGCGGUGGAUUCAAUCGGAGAGCUGAUUUUGCUAUUGGGUAGCUACUUCCUAACAAUAGGCAAAGUGAUGGAAGAGGGGAUAAAAGAACACUUGAAGUACCAAAACUUGACAUAGAUGGACACUUAAGUGCCAAAAGUGACGAAAGUGACACUUAAGUGCCACUUUUUUUUUUUUUUUUUGAAAAUAAGACAUCUGAGUGCCAAGUCGGGCGAAGGUGGCCGGGAAUCUUACGUGGUAAUUUUUUUUUUUUAAAUAUAACUCGUCUAUAUGGCACAUCGAAGAGUUGAGUCAACAACAAAUAGCCAAAAUGAUGUCGUUUUGUUUCUUUUUUUUUUAAUAAUAAUUUUAAUAUCAAUAUUAAUUAAAUUAAAUUAUGAGGGCUCAGCCCUCGCCACUUGCAAUCUCCAUAUUCCUUUCCUUUUUCUAAAUAAUUUCAUUUUAAAAUUUCAUUUAAUUAAUUUUUAUAUUAAUUAUUGUUGACAUCUAAAUUUCAGCCAAAAAAAUCAUUUCUAAAAAAAUGGGAACUUGUUUUUCCACAAAAUAUUUCAUGUCCAAUUCUUGCAUAUAGAUUAUUUAGGUGUUUAGUAUAGUUUUUUUUUUUAAUGGAAGUUGUUUUUCCUAAAAAAAAUUAAACAUUAAAAAUUAAAGAUAUAUAUAACAAAAGAAGAUAAAAAAAAAGGUUGGAGCUGAUGAUCUGAGUGUGACUAGCCAAGCCCAAGAGGUCAGAUUGUAAUUAAAAUGGCAAGUUGGGGCUAAAAUGCAAUUUUCAAAAGUUGAGGGACCAAUUCUCAAAUUUUGCAAAAUUUGCGCCCGAGCCCUUAUAUCAUCAUCUUUGCCCCCAUUUGAGUUGAAAUUGAACUUGGUUUAGGUCUAAGUAAUUGAAUUGGGCAAAAAUGAUCAAAUUGGAUUGAAUUGAGCAUUCUCGGGCAAGAAAAUGACCAACUUUGAGGGACUUUCCUGAAAAAUUAGGACUAGACAAUUGCGAAAAAUGAUCAAGAUCUUAAACUACUAUACAUGAGCUUGCUAAUUGAUCAAGAACCACAACCAAAUUGAUGAAUUUAGGCACCCAAAAAAGCUGCCAAAUCUCAGUCCACAAGUUAUUCUCAUUUUGGAGCUGCUGAGGAAGCAACUUGGUAGACCCACCAUAUCCUCCUCAGCUGCCCAACUGGCCUAAUCUUUGCAUGUAAUGGAAGACCAUAAUUAGUAGUGCAAGUGGAAAAAAAAAUUGGCUAGGGAUAAGCUGCUGAAAAAGCAUGGGAAAGUCGUAGCAAAAUCCGCACACUCAACAGCUACAAAUUUGAAAAUUUUGGCUUAGUCAGAAAGUGGGUAAACUGCUCAGUUGGCAGGCUUAGUUGGAGGGCAAAAAGCCGAUCAAGAGAUUGCUUAAUGAAGUGGAUAAGAACUAUAAAGCAUGCUCUUUUAAGGAAUAAGAGGUAGAAGACAAGAGGCACUGGAGGGAGCUCACAAUUGUGCUCAAAAGACACCCUUAGAAGUAACUCUAGAAAGCAAAAACCCAGAAAUUCCAAAUCAACAUAAAGAGAAAAGUGAAACUUUCACAAACUUGCAGCCAAAAUUAGCCAAAACCUUCAACUAGAGAGUGAAGUUCACUCAAAGAUCUUUCCAACCAUAAGUCACAUGUCCAAAAUGGAGAUCGGAAAGACCUCCUAAAGCCCCCCGAAAAGAUGCCCUCCCGGCAGGCCAAGGGAGUCCUAAGAUUUUUCUAAGUGUUGAGCUCGGUUGGUCACGAGUGAGGAAAUGCGAGUGUUUUUGAGAAAUGUGAGAGAUAAAUGAGGAAAUCCAUGACUUACAAACCAAACUAGAGUUUAUAUAGUUUGGGUUAGUUUUAAUUUGGCCAACAAAAGAGGUUCUGAAGCCUAAUUUUGAAGGUCAACGAAAACCUUCGUUGUUAGUUUUUUUCUUCCACAAAUCUCACUUUUAGUUUAAAGGAGCCAUUUUCCACGUGUCCCCCCGGAGGAUAAUUUCUCGUUUCCUCGACCAAGAGUCACUUGCAAAAGAAACUAGGAAGUAAGGUAAACAUCCUAGAUGUAUUUUUGUUUGAGUUUGAACAUGUUUUGAUCAUGAAAAUCAGGAGGAAACCUAGUCUGGAGAACUGAUUUAAGAGGUUGAAUUUUUUAAGUGUUUAAAAUCUCUUCAAUACCCCUACAUGCUUGAUUUGUUACCCUCCUUUGCAUGCGUUUUUUUUUUUUUUUUGGUAGUUGUGACUUUGAUGAAUGUUAUAUAGGAGUGCAAAUGAUGUAUAGGACAACUCGGCGUAGUCUUUAAAUCUCCUUGUGAACCAUGCAACCGUCUAUAACAUGAGCCAAAAACCAAGCCAAUCCACAUUGAGACAUGGUUGGCUAGCAUAGAUCAUGCAUGUACGCUUCUUGGAGAGUUCGUUUUGAUGUGUCUGAUUGAUCGUUCUUCGUGAUAUUUGUUGCAUUUGAAAGUCCAUGUUACCUAUUUUCAUCCGGAUGGAGUAAUAUUUCAUAUAUAUGUUGCAUGUGAUGGUUGUCAGGGCUUCAAUCUAGGCAUAUGACAUGUCUGUUUGACUUGGGUUCAACACUAGAUUUGCAAAACGGCUCCAACCCGCAUAUUUGAGGCCGUUUUCAGUUUGGUUCUUACGUGUUCUAGGCUGUGAUUUCUAGCUAAAACUAUUCUUUGUAUGUAAUAGUACAUCCUUGAUACUUUGCGUUCACAUGAGAUUGCUUAUGGGUCGAGAUUGAAUGCCACGAACAUGGCCCAAGGAAGCUGUUUUGAGAUGAUUUGAUGCAAGCCAAGUAUUUGAUAAAAUUUUGGAACCAAGCUUCGAUUUUGAAAGGGUCGAUUUAAGCUCGAUUAUUGUGAUAUUCAUGUGUUGUGUUGUUCAAUGUUAGCAUAUAUCAGUUUAGGGAAUUAUUAUUAUUAUUUAAAAAAAAAAUCCAAAAAUCCAAAAAUUUCAAUAUAUAUAUAUAUUGUUAGAGAAAACAUUUCCAAGAGAUUUUGAUAAUGCCCAAAGUAUCCUUAAUAUAUUACUUACAAUGUUAUUUGCAUAUGUUUGGACCAAAAUACUACACAAUAUCAUGGUGUGAUCCAUCAAAAGAAGUUCGCAAAUGUCCUAUUAUUACAAAAUAGCACUAGUCAACCAAAAGAUCAUGUACCGAUGAUAUAUAUAUAUAGAAGCAGUAAAGAUCAGGUUGAUGGUUAGGUGACAACCAAGUAUAUCAAUUAAUGUUCGUUGGGUCAGCUAAAAAACCGUUGAAAGAUCUGGAUUCGCAUAGCAGCAAAAUUGGAACAAAGCAUGUAGCAGAGUAGCUAGAGUGGUUGACAGGUUAGUUAAAGACCGCAGUGAGAAGAAAGCAAUAGUUGCUAUUUUUUGUUAGUUUGAAGAAGUCCUAGGAAAAAAGCUGUAUGAGUAAUAUAUUCCUAGACAACAACUUAAUGAAAAACUCUUUAAUGGUCAUCUACUUCUCUAAACCAACCUCAAUGGAUAGAUUGAGGAAAGUUAUAAAAGAGAAGGUUUUGAAGAACCAAAAGAGAGUCUACCACAUAAAAAAUCAAGUAGCUCAUGUACUAUUAUUCUUUGUUGAAAGCUCUCUGUCUUAUUAUUUUGUUUGUCAUGUUGUUUAGCAAUUGUGUUACGAAUUAAGUGAACGAGUAUAAGAGUAGCAACUAAAUUCAGAUAGUAUAAUCUAUCACAUGAAGGAUUAGUUCUAGCUGGUUAUAACUUUCCAAGCAGAUUGUUAAUGGAAUUUAGCUCAUCUUAAGACUAUUAGUUUGAAGUGUGGCAUCCCAAAAUUCAAAGCCAAGCCAUAACGUGUGUUAAAGUUUCUAAUUAGGUGAUAAAAAAUUUCCAUGGCUUAUGCUUUAGCCAUUAGUCUUUUAAUUAGAUGAUUCGUGCAUAUGAUUGUGAAAAUUUAAAUUUGAUAGAUUAAUAAUUUAUGCUUGGCCAUGUGCUUUGUAAAUUAAAUUUCAAUAACCAAGAUGCCCCAAGACUUUGGCCAAGAUGGAAAUUAAAAUUUUAAAAUAUUUAUAGAAGAAAUUCAAAAAAAAAAAAGAAGGGAAAAAGAGGGUCAAAAUUCGAUUGGGCCUUAAGCCCAAGAGUGGAACUUUAAUGGGCCAAGUUGGCCGGCCCAUUGAAGCCCACAAGUGGGCCGUCGACCAGCCCAAGAGGAGGCCCAAGAAGUGGCCGGAUGGCCCAAGCCCAAGAAGCCCAAACCCAAAUUAAAAAAAAAAAUUCAAUAUGACAAAUGGCAAAGGGGAAGGCCAUGCAUUGGCUGGUUUGUAGGCAAGUAAUGAUUGUUAAUCAUGAGGAUUUGAGGGUAUAAGAAGGGAAGAGAGAGAGAAGGUGGCCGGAUUUCUUUUGGCCGAGAGAGAGGGUGGGAGAGAGAGAGAGAGAAUUCGAGAAAGAGAGGGAGAGGCUGAGAGAGGAAGGAGGCGGAGCCGAGGGGUUGUCGCCGUCCGUCCGCCGUGUGCCGCCGUGUUCGCCGCCCUACGCCGUCGACCGUCCAUUCUAGAGGCAAGUGGGAGUCCUCUAGCUUCUCUUGCAUGCUUGUAUGUCGUUUGCAUGUUGAGUUUUUGGAUGUUAGAUGAUAAAAACCGAAGCAUGGAUGAGUUGUGUGUGAAUGGUGUGACUGUUCUUGCUCGGAUCGUGUGAGUCAGUAACUUGUUUGAGCUUGCAUUGUGUUUAGAGUCCGAUUUUAGAUUCUAUUUCUUCAUGAGAGUUGUAGCUAACAUCUUGAGCUACAACAUACUGAAAUUUCGUGGAAAAUUAUGGAGAUUUGAGGGGUUAAAGUGUUAUCCUACGGAGACCUCAGAUCUGGAGAGUUUUUACUGACCUCUUGCUGGAUUCGUGAUUGCAUGUUGGUUUUUAUUGAGAAUCUCACUUUUAUUUCUUCAUAAAAGUUGUAGGAGACAUAUUAAAAUACAACAUACUCAAAUUUGAAGUGAAAUGAACAAGUAUAGCCUAGUAAAUAAACUAGAUCUUGAAGAUGAUGAUUCUGGUGAUGAAUUCCGAGAUACCCGAGACUUCAUGGACAUAGAUGAUGACUAUAAUCUGGUUAUUUGACCUAGAUAUCUUCAUGAAACUUGUAUAGGACACCUUGAUAUAUAAAAUAUCUAAAUUUCAGAGGAAACGAAAGAGAAAAGGUAGGUUAAAUCUCAAUAUUUCGGAGAUGUGUACACUGGACGAUGCGGUAAUGGAUCCAGAAACUUCGUGCGGUUGUAUAAAAUAAUAUAAAAAUAAUCUGGCUUGGAGUUCUUCAUGAAAGUUGUACGAAAAUGUCUUGUCUAUCACUUUGUAAAAUUUAGUAAUUUUUGGAGGCCGUAUGGAUAUUUUAAUCGAAUUUCUUCGGAAACUGUGCAUUCUGGUUUUAUCCGAAUAUUAUGUGCUGUUUUGUGGAAAUUGUGAAAUUGUGUGAAAUUAAAUUUGGCCAUGAAUUUUGUAUGAAAUUGUCAUCCUAUUGGUUUUUUAAUGAUUGCUUGAAUUUUUAUAAUUUUGGGAAUUUAUAGAUAUUGAAUUUAAUAUUUAUUAUAAAAUAAAUAAAUAAAUAAAUAAUAACAAAAUAAAAUGGAUUAUUUUAUUGGCCAUAAAUUCCAUUGAAUUUAUUAAUAAAUAAUUAUACAUUGCUACAUGUAUAAUGAGACAUUGGUGUAUGUAUGACCUUGAAUUGUGACGCAUGUGUGAAUUCUAUGCCAAGUAUGACUUGUUUGAUGUCACGCCAUAUGCCAUGUUAAAAUGAGAUCAAAAUAAUGGUAAAUGUGGAUAAUGAUAAGUGAGGAAGUGAUUGUGGUGGAGGAUGAGGCCAGAAUGUAUAGAGAUGCAUUGCCGGAUUCCCUGGGAGAUUUAGGAUGCCCGGAAUGUGGGGGGCCGGAAGCCCUGUCGGAGGUCUUUGCCCGAAGGGAAUGCCUCGCGAUGCCAGGAUUGGGGUGCGGGAUGCUCGGCCAGGGAGUGUAAAUGCCGGAAGCCCUGUCGGAGGUUUAUGCCCGAAGGGAAUGCCUCGCGAUGCUAGUUGAGAUGCGAGAUGCCCGGAAUGUGGGGGGUCGGAUGCCCGGUGGCCUGGGAGGCUGAAUGCCGGAAGCCUCGGAGGUCUUUGCCCGAGGGGAUGAUAAAAUUGAUGAAUUGAGAAAUGGGUGAUGUGGUGAUCAAAUUGAAAGCUAAAAGUGGAAAUUAAAUCAUGGCAUGAUAUGCAUGAUAUGAUAUGCAUGAUGAUAUGCAUGAUGAUGAUGAUGAUGAUAUGUGAUGUGAAAUAAUGAUGAUCACCCAUGAUAUGAUAUGCAUGAUGAUAUGCAUGAUAUGAUAUGCAUGAUGAUGAUGAUGAUGAUGAUAUGUGAUGUGAAAUAAUGAUGAUCACCCAUGAUAUGAUAUGCAUGAUGAUAUGCAUGAUGAUGAUAUAUGAUAUGGCAUGAUGAUAUGAUGAUUGAUGAUGAUGAUGAUGAUAUGAUAUGCAUGAUGAUAUGCAUGGUGAUGAUAAUGAUAAUGAUAUAUGAUAUGGCAUGUGUAAUGCGACGAUGUCGUGAUGAUGAUGACAUGUAUGAUGUAAUGAUGUCAUGACGAUGAUGACAUGUAUGAUACGAUGAUGAUACACAUGUAUGUGUUAUAAAUCGAUAUGAUGAUGCAUGAUAGUAUGCGCAUGGCUUCAAGGUAAGUAGCGCCUGCAAUGCAUGUAUGAUUGCAUGAUGCAUGAGUUGUUAUUGGAUUCCCNNNNNNNNNNNNNNNNNNNNNNNNNNNNNNNNNNNNNNNNNNNNNNNNNNNNNNNNNNNNNNNNNNNNNNNNNNNNNNNNNNNNNNNNNNNNNNNNNNNNAUGGCAGUUUCCCCCACUAAGCUGAGAUUGACUUCUCAAACUGAUCGAUCGAAAUAAUAGUUCGUGACAUGGCACGGUGGCACCAACUGACGAAAUCAAAAGGGUUCGUCUUAUCCACCUUGAACAGUUGACCCCUUCUCUUCGAUUUCAAUAAUUCAUGUGUUAAAAGAAUUUGCGAGUCGCGUCCUCUAAAGUCUACCCUCUUGUGCGUCGUGGAGCUCCAUAUUUUUAUAACGUUUGUUCCCUCCCGCAUCUCCCAUUUCCCUUUCUUCUGAAAAAGGGAAAGACUCUCUCUCUCCCAAUUCCGGUGUACAUAUACGGGACGGCGCACUCAACACAUCUACGAACUAGCCGCGUCACUUUUUUUAUAUAUAUAUAUAUAUAUAUAUUAUAUAUAUAUAUAUAUAUAUAUGUAAAUAAAGUGUCGUGGCUUGUUUAUAAAAUUAUGGUGAUUAGUGGUGUGUAUUUGUAUCAUGGUUGGUAGGGGGAGAGAUGGUGAUGUUUUAAAUUGCUUCCGCUAAUGAGUCGCGCUGGGACCGUUUUGUUUAAAAAAAAAAAUGUGUUUAUGAAUUAGGACGCUUCUUCGAAAGACAGAAAGGUAAUAAGGUGUAACAUUGGCGCUGGUGACGACCUGCGAAGGGUUCGGGGUGUCACAUGAAGAGUGGACGUAAACUUGAGGAUAAACUUGAACCACUAUAACUUUCUGUGUCACACUGCUUUUCAUCUUCUUAUAUGAAUUGGCAUACGGUUAGUGAGUGUUUACUUAAACAUUGUGUUGAGGUGAUCUUUACUUGGCAAUUAGCUAGUUUCCAUAAAAGAUCAUUAAAGUUUGAAAACAACCUAUUCACCCCUUAUAGGUUAUAUUGUUAGCUUCAACAAUUAGUAUCAAAGUUUUGUUGCUCAUUAUCUAAGGCGUAUUUCUUUUGAAUAUAGAGAUCUUUUAUUAUGGCUAACCUUGGCAGCUUCUUUACUAAUGAUGCUUAAGCUACCAACAAGCCGCCAUAUUUUGAUGACGGCAACUAUGGCUAUUGGAAGCAAAGAAUGAAAUUAUAAAUUGAAGCCAUAGAUCUAGAUAUGUGGGAUGCAGUUGCAAACGGUCUAGAAGUACCAAUUUUUGUUCGACAAAAAGGCUGGGAAGCAGCAAUUGUCAAUGCUACAAAAAAAUCUCGAAAAAGAGCCAUUCUUAAUGCUAAACUGAAACACCUCUUGUAUUGUGUAUUAUCACAUUUUGAAUUUAACAGAAUCUCUUCUUGUGAUAUAACGAAGGAAAUCUAGGAUCGCAUUACGCUGACAUUUGAAGGAAUAGAAAGAGUCAAAUAAACAAAGCUAAACAUCUUGCUUGGAAACUAUGAGCUGUUUAGGAUAAAGUUCGAUGAAACAGUGACUCGUUCACACUAUUCACAAAAAUAAUGAACGUACUUGCUCUUUAAGGAAAAAGCUACAUAGAUGCGGAGAAAGUAAACAAAAAACUAUGAGCUCUUUCCAAGGAAUAGAGUACUGUCAAGACUUCACCACGAGAAACCAUGAGGAUUCAACCAAUCACAAUGGACGAGCUUAUAGGAACAUUCAUGUCCUAUGAAGUCGAGCUUUAAAAUGAAGGGAACAACUCCAAAGGUAAGAAAAUCAUUGCAUUUAAAGCUAACCUUGAUGAUACAGGUUGAGAAAUAUCAUUUGAUGAUGAAAAAAUGGAUGAAGACAUGGAAUUACUAACAAAGAAGGUUAAAAAAGGAAGAAUCCAAAGGUAAGGACAUCGUGUGCUAUGAAUGCAAGAAAUCCGGACACAUAAAACUAGAAUGUCCAUCCAUCAAGAAGAAGAAAGGGAAAUUUGAGAAAAAGAAAAAGGUGCUAAAAGCUAAAACAUGGAGUGACACUGAAUGUGAAUCAAGUGAUGAAGAAUAAGCAAAUCUUUCUCUCAUGGCUUCGAAUUAGAAGAAGAUGAGAUAAAAGAUUACGAGUUGUCUUAUGAUGAAUUGAAAGAUUUUUUAAAGGAAAUGUUUGAAAAACACCAAAAAGCUUUAAAACGAAUUUCUCCCUUAAAAAAGGAGGUUCAUAGCCUUACCACUUAAAACCUCACCAACCAAACUCUCAUUGACAACUUGAAGAAAGAGCUUGAUUCUCAAAUAAAUCAAGUAAAGCUCUUGCAAGCUGAGAAUGAGAAUGUCAAGGAUAAAAUUUCAAAAAUCAACAUUAAAUCUUCUUUUGGUUCAAAAACAUUAAAGCACAUUUUCUCUAUCCAAGUUCCUCACUACAACAAUAAUGAUCUUGGAUGUGAAGGAAAUGAGGAUGAGACGAAUCAUUUUCCAAAAGCAAAGGACAGAUUAAAGCACAAAACUCUUGCACACUUUUACAAGUCUCACUUUGUCAAACACUUUACUAAAGCUACUGGUAAGAAAUUUCCUAAGUAUUCAAACUAUGGAGGAUAUGGCCAUUUCAAAAUGGAUUGUCUAAAACAGCUAAAGAAAUUCAGGAAAACUAGCCGGUCUUUUGAUCCCGAAUUAAAGCCUAACCACAAAGGACCUAAGUUUAUGUGGAUGCCAAAGAAAAGAUGAGAUUUACUUUGAUUUCAGGUUAUCUUGAAGAACAACAAGUGGUAUUUAUAUAGCGAGUGUUCUUGACACAUGACUGGAGACAACAACAAGUUUGUAAUGCCUACAACCAUAGAUAGAGGCAUAGUUACAUUUGGAAGAAAAGAUAAAAGGAAGAAUUAUCGAGAAAGGAAACAUCAGGUUGGAAAAUUUAUUUGUUGAAUAUGUUUCACUUGCAAAAGGUCUAGAGCACAAUCUCCUUAGUAUAAGUCAACUCUAUGAAAAGGGUACAAAAUAAAAUUUGAGAAAUGUAAGUGAAUAGACACAGCAAGGAUAAAUCACAAAUAUUCACUAGAAAUAGGUAUGGCAACAUCUACUUACUUGACAUCAACUUUGAUGAAUCUUACUAUUUAAUAUCUAUUAAGGAAGAAUGUGAUCUAUGUACAAGAAAUUAGGUCAUAUUAAUGCAAACUAUAUCUUCCAAAGAUAUAGUUUGUCCUCUACCAAAAAUCAAUUACAGCAAGUAUGACACAUGUAAUGCAUGCACAUUGGAAAAAAAAAAGGUGAGAAACUCUUUCAAAUCUACCAAAGCUAUUACUACUGGUAGAUCUUUGUAACUAUUGCAUAUGGACUUGUUUGGACCAACAUGAACAACAAGUCUAAGAGGAAGAAAAUACUGUCUAGUCAUAGUGGAUGACUACUUGAGAUUCACUUGGGAAAUGUUUUUUAUCACAAAAGAAUGAGGCAUUUCAUUCUUUUAAGAAAUUUGCUUGACAAGUUCAAAAUGAGAAAGGAUACGACAUCACCACCAUUAGAACUGACCAUGGAGGAGAAUUCGACAACCAAAGCUUGCUGAAUAUUGUGAUGAAAACGGAGUGGAACACAACUUCUCCACUACUUACACUCCUCAAUAGAAUGGGGUAGCAGAAAAAAGAAAUCGAUCAUUGCAAGAAAUGGCAAGGACAAUAUUGAUCGAAAGUAAUGCACUUACUUAUUUCUGGGCUAAAGGUGUUGCUAUCGUAUGUUACACUCUUAAUAGAAUAUUACUCAAACCUAUGAUAGAAAAGACUCCAUACGAGAUAUAUGAUGGAAGAAAAUCUACUCUACGCUACUUCCAUGUAUUUGGAUGCAAAUAUUUCAUUUUGAAGAAUACAAAUGACAACAUCGGGAAGUUUGAUGCAUGAGCUGGUGAAGGUAUCUUUCUUGGUUACUCAACUACAAGUAAAGCCUAUCCAAUCUUUAUUAAAAAUUCAAAGAUAGUGGAAAAAUUCAUAAAUGUGAAAUUCAUGGAUGAUCAAAAAGGGACACAGAGUGAUGACUACGAGGAUGUCAUACAUAUAUUUGCACCAAUUGCUCAAAAACAGUAGCAACCCCUACUUCUAACCGAUCUUUCAAAUCAAAGUCAAUCUUCAAGAGAUUGGAGAUUCAAGAUUGAGCAUCCUAAGGAAUAAAUAAUGGGAAAAGUGGAUGGAGGAAUCAAAACAUGAUCAUCUCUCACAGGUAUGAUAAAUUCCUUAACUCUUAUAUUUGAAUUUGAGGUCAAGAAAGUUGAAGAUGCUCUAAAAAAAAAUGAAAGCUGGAUUGAAGCUAUGCAAGAGGAAUUAUAUCAAUUCAAAGUCAACGAUGUUUGGGAACUAGUUGCUAGACCUAAAUAUUAGACUAUCAUAGGAACCAAAUGGAUAUUAAGGAACAAACUUGACACAACAUGUAAUGUUGUACGUAACAAGGCAAAACUAGUUAUCAAACAGUACCUACAGGCGGAAGGUAUUGAUUUUGAUUAAACUUAUGCCCUUAUUGUUGAGUGCGGGACACCUGGAGUGCCAUAACUUGGCACGCCCGGACACUUAAGUGCCAUAACUUUAAAAUGGUACACUUAAGUGCCAUCAUCGGAGUAAAAUAGGACACUUAAGUGCCACUCCGGUGAAAAUCCGGCCAAAUGGCUGACGUGGCGACUUUCCGGCGAGCUCGGUCCCAAACGGCGUCGUUUUGCACGCUGACGUGGCGGAGAAAAUGCAAAAACGACGCCGUUUCGCGUCUACGUGUAAAUAAUAGUAUAUAAAUUAAUUAAAUUAGAUUUAAACAAAAAAUUUUAAAAAAAUAAGAAAAUUUUAAAAAUUAAGAAAAUUUUUUAAAAAUUAAGAAAAAAUUUAAAAAUUAAGAAAAUUUAAAAAAUUUAAAAAAUUAAGAAAAAUUUUAAAAAUGUUAAAAUUUUUAAAAUUUUAAAAAAUAAGAAAAAUUAAAAAAAUUAAAAAAAUUAAGAAAAUUUUAAAAAUUUUAAAAAAUUUUAAAAAAUUUUAAAAAAUUUAAAAAUUUUAAAAAUUUUAAAAAAUUUUAAAAAAUUUAAAAAAUUUUAAAAAAUUCAAAAAUUUUAAAAAAUUUAAAAAUUUUAAACAAUUGAGAAAAUUUUAAAAAAGGGGGGGCGGGGGGGGAAAUGGGGGGGGCCCCCUGCCCCCCCCCCCCGGCCCCCCCCCCCCCCCGGGUUAAAUUUUUUAAAAUUACGAAUUCCCCCCCCCCCCCCCCCCUUUUUUUAAUUUUUAAAUUUUUUUAAAUUUUCUUAUUAUUAUUUUUUAAAUUUUUUAAAUUUUUUAAAAUUAAAAUUUUUUAAAAUUUAUUAUUUUCUUAAAUUUUUUUAAUUUUUUUAAAAAAAAUUUAAAUUUUUUUUAAAUUUUUUAAAUUUUUAAAAUUAAAAUUUUUAAAAUUUUCUUUUUUUUAAAAUUUUUUUAAUUUUUUAAAAUUAAAAUUUUUAAAAUUUUCUUUUUUUAAAAUUUUUUUUAAAAUUUUUUAAAAUUAAAAUUUUUAGAAUUUUCUUAUUUUUUAAAAUUUUUUAAUUUUUUAAAAUUAAAAUUUUUAAAAUUUUCUUUUUUAAAAAAAAUUUUAAAAAUUUUUUAAAAUUAAAAUUUUUAAAAUUUUCUUAUUUUUUAAAAUUUUUUAAUUUUUUAAAAUUAAAAUUUUUAAAAUUUUCUUUUUUUAAAAAAAGUUUUAAAAUUUUUUAAAAUUAAAACUUUUAAUUUUUUUAAUUUUUUUUUAAUUUUUAUGCUGAUUUGGAGGUCCGGCGAGCCAUGUAGGCAAAAAAUAAUAAUAAAAUAUUGCCACGUAGGAUUUCCGGCAAGGGUCGCCGGAGGUGGCACUUAAGUGUCCCACUCGAAAAAAAAAGUGGCACUUAAGUGUACCGUUUUGAAGUUAUGGCACUUAAGUGUCCCGGCGUGCCAAGUUAUGGCACUUGUGGUGUACUUCUGCCCCUUAUGUUAGACUAGAAGCUAUACGUUUAUUAUUAGCUUGUGCCUAUUUUCAUGAUUUCAUACUAUAUCAAAUGGAUGUCAAAAGUGCAUUUUUGAAUGGUUAUAUCAAAGAAAUAGUAUACGUUGAGCAACCACUAGGCUUUAAAGAAACAAGUAGACCUGGUGAUGUUUAUCAACUCAAGAAGGUGCUUUAUAGACUAAAGCAAACACCAAGAGCUUGGUAUGAAAAAUUAAGUAAUUUCUUGACAGAUUAUGAAUUUAAAAAAAGUAAGGUAGAUACUAUCCUCUUUAUCAAUUGGAAAGGUAAAAAUUUGCUUAUCAUUCAAAUAUACGUUGAUGAAAUAAUCGGUGGAGCUACUAAUGACAUGCUGUGCAAGGAAUUUGCAAAAAUGAUGAAGAGUGAAUUUGAUAUGAGCCAAUUGUUGAAAUAAAUUUCUUUCUCGAACUCCAAAUCAAGCAAUCUCUUGAAGGCAUCUUUAUACAUUAAGAGAAGAACACAAGAUAAAUAGUAAAGAAAUUUGGUUUGGAAGGAUACAAGAAAAUCGAGACUCCCAUGUCAUGCUCUAUCGAAUAAGAUAGAGAUGAGAAAGAUAUAAGAAAUACAUCAAGUACUUGUCAAUUGCUAGGGAACGUGCUAAUUUCUUGGUUCCCGAAUAAACAAAAUUCAGUUGCCUUCUCAACCAUUGAGGCUGAAUAUAUUGCUCUUGGAAGCUGUUGUGCUCAACUCAUUUGGAGGAAGCAACAAUUAAGUGAUUCUAGAAAAGAUGAAGAAUGUAUUCCCAUCAUGUGUGAUAACACUUGUGCUAUAAAUCUAACCAGAAAUCCAAUCCUACAUUCAAGAGCCAAACAUAUCAAGGUGAGACAUCACUUUGUUAGAGAUUACGUUAACAAUGGAGAUAUCUAUAUACAAUUUAUAGAAUCAAAACUAUAGCUAGUAGAUAUUUUCACCAAACCGUUGGACAAGCCAGCCUUUGAAUAUAUACUUGGUGAACUAGGAAUGUUCAUUGUUCUAGAAUGACAACAUUUAGGUAAUAUGUCAAUUAUAUUGAAUAACAUUAGAUGUGGAAGAAACAAUUGGUACGCAUCUACUGUAUUAAUUCAAAAAGUUAAUGUUACAAGUACUACGCUUGUUACCGUUUUGUCCAUCUAGAGGUGAUACGAUUGUUGUAAAAAACUCCAUAUGCAUGAAUUUAUUGCCUAUCUAAUUGGUAGAUUUCAAAUACGAAACAUCUAUGGAUAAGAAAAAUCACCGUUGAUGAAACAAUGGCUAUUUUUCUCUCUCUCUCUCUUCAUGUAAUACACCACUUCUAUUUAUAGAAGAUUAGUAUUUAUUUUUUUACUCACUACUCAUACCUACCCUCUCAUAUUUAUUUUAUAUUAUCUACUCAAACCUCUCAUCCCUUCUACACACAAACACCUUUUCAUUCAAAUCCAUGGUACCCAAAGCUCACACCUUUUUAAAGGUAAUUGCUGACACCUGAUUUUUAGUCGACGUGUCAUUAAAAAGUACAAAUCGAGAUUUUGGAUUUUGGAUCGUGACGGAACCCUAUUUCUUGGCCGAAAAGUGUCGUUUAUUUUUUGUCUUUUUCAUUGUCAUUUUUAAGCAACAUCUAGUUUAUUUUCAAGAAAAACUCGACAAGUCAAAUGGUUGACUUUUGGAUUGACUUUUUGAUCAAUCUUUUGACCAAAAGUCAACCCCUUGACCAAAUGUCAACUCGGGGGUCAAAAAUUGACUUUUUACCCAAAAAGAUUUCAUUUAACUUUAAUUUCACUUUCGUCUAAUCAAUUUCUCAAAAAAUUGACAAAAAAAUCAACAUUUUAGUAAAAGUCAACUAACUAGUUGACUUUUGAUCAAACAUUUGAUCAAAAAAAUGAAAAAAAAUGAAAAAAAAUAAAAAAUACAUGAAAACAUUUCUUUGAAUGCCAAUUUGACUUUUGUGUCGAAAAUUUCAUAAAAUUCAAUUAAGGACCUUGAUUUCUAAAUUUUUUAGUUUUAGGUUAUAAAUUAACUAAAAAUAAAAUUACUUUUAUUUUAGGUAUAGUUAGGUGUAAUUCCUUCUUCAACAUUUGAUUUAGGGACUAUUUUAAAUUUUCUUGCAUAUUCAAUUUCGCGAUUUAACAAGUUAAAAUGCGAAUUACCGUUUUGAGCCCUAAUUAUGGGACCAAAAUCGAUCUUUUAUAACUUGUGAAUGGACGAUUGUUUCUCAUUCGUUUCCUUAAGAUAAAUCAAAAUUCAAAAUCGAUUUUGAGAAAUUCACACCAAAGCCUAUCAAUUUGAGGGAUUUUAUCCUCCAAAGCAUAAGAAAGUCAAGUAAUUAAUUUCAAUUGUCAAAAUUCGAAUUGACACAUUCAUGGUUAUGGUCUAAUUUCAUAAAUCUAAGUCUAAUUUGAAUAUUAGACCUAGAUCCAUUUUUGACAUAAGCCCGAGCGCUUUAAUUUAAGGCCAAUUCGGACAUGAUAAGUGAUCUUACAUAUGGGUAGGUCAUUAGAUAGGGCAAUUGUGACAUUAAUUGAGUUCAAUUUUAGUUAAUUUGUAAUUUUGCCUAUUGAAUUACAAAUUUGAUCAUUUGAGCUCUUGAGACCCAAUUCAAAGCACCCAUGAUUUUCACCUGUCACCUUUGACGAUAAACAUUAAAUUAGGUUAAUAAAAUACCUCUAGAUUAUGUUCAUAAGGUUUGAUUAGCUUAAUUGUAUCUCACUUGGCCUAUUUCUUUUUUAAAUAUGGUAAAAUUCCUUUUCAAUUUGAUCCUUUAGGAACCAAAUUGUUUAAAUUUUGGACCCACAAGGAUCCUAAGUAGACGAAAUAGCUAGAACCAGACCAAACCAGUCAAGAACCGAUCAAAACCCAGCUGAACCGCAAGGAAAUGGCCGAUUCAAUCCCUUGCCGGCUGGUUCUUGACCUCCAACGACCUGUUCUAGAAUCCUCUCAAUGUCAAUUUUACUUCUACACCUUUAAUUUCUUGAAAUUUUACAAGUUGUAUCUCGAAUUUUAUCAAAUUACAAAUUAACCCUUGAUAAGACAUUCGACAUAAUUCUCGAUUUUGGCUCGGGUUUUUGCAAAUUAAACAUACUAGAUAGAUUACCCAACACCUCGAGAUCAUGAUACAUCCUUUAAAAUUGAAUUUUAACCAUUGGAUCAAUAUUUUGAUCGUUGGAAUGACUGACGGUCGGAAUUGCUCGAUUUUAAGAGGGUAUAAAUACCCAUUUUCCCUCCAAUUUUUUUGGGAGAGGGCUUCAUGCUGCACGAACUUUUCUCUCUUCAGAUCUCUCUCUCUAAUUUCCCGCUUAAAAUCGCUCAGUCUCUUCCUACUCGCCGAUUUUGCCUGAUUCCUCUUCGGUGAAGCUUUUAGCCUUUGCCAGCAUUAUCCUUACUCUGAUGACCAUUUCCGACCUUACUCCAUUACUGUUGCUAGCUCAAGCCAUUUCUAGAGUGAUCAGAAGCCUCCAAACGGGCUUGAUUUUUCCUAGGCAUUAAAGACCGGUUCGAUUCAUGAACCGGUUCUAUUUCAGACUUGAACUGGCGAUUGCCGGACAGUCUCGUGCCACCAAUCACUCUUGAUCGGUGACGUAAGUGGUCUUCAACCUCGUUGUGGUUGAGGACUACCAGAUUUGUUCCAGUGACUUGCUUCCUCUACUAGCGUGAAGAUUGAUCCGAUUCUUGGACCGGUUCUGUGUGUUCUGCAAAAACAAAGGUCAUCGGAGCUUUUAGGAGGGUCUAGCUAUCUCUGUUAUGUGUUAGGAAUGUCUUCUGACCUCGUUGUGGCUGGCUAACUGCUGGAUCAACAUCAGUGGCCUAUUUUCUCGCUAGUGCUUGAAGGCUGGUUCAAUCGAAUCAGUUUAUGUUCGUGUUGCAUCUUGUCCGAUUUGGAGCCUUGAUCUAGUCCAUAGCGAUCCAAUCCACAUCCUUGGAGUUUCAAUUGUAAUUUGAAGGCUUGCAUCUUGUCCGAUUUGGAUCAAAAUCGACAAAAAUCAAUAAAAGGUGAUUUCUUAGUCUUAAACCCCUUGCAGUGAGGCUGGAUUAGCCGGUCGGGGUUAGGGUUCAAUCUAAAGGAUAUAUGCUAUGCUCAUGUGAUCUUUGAUAAGUUGUUGAAGUUUGAAUGCUGAUAAGUAUUCUUGGAUAAACUUGAAUGAUUAUAGUUGAUUUAGCUUGAAUAUGAAAUUUCAUAGCUAUAGGAUUGAUUUGACGAUUUGGCCAAAAUGAGGUCUGAAACAACCUCAUUUCAAUUCAAGUCCUCUUAAAACUUUGAAAAUACUCAUUGCUAACUUUGAAUCGAUAUAUUGCACACCUAAAUCAAGCAUCAUUUGACUCUCAAAAAACAUCUCUAAAGAUGAACAGAUCUGUAGUAGUUCAGGUGGAUUUUAAGUUUUGUUCUUGUUCGGAAAUGAGAUUUUUACUAUUUAUGUGUAGUCUUCUAUGAUGAUUUCUGGAUAGUCUUGCUUGCAUUGAUUUUGUUCCAAAUAGUCUUGUGCAUGUUCUAUAAUUUUUUCGUGAUUUUUGGAUUUAUUUAACUAGGUCAGAUCUACUCAGAUUUGAGCCUAGGUCAGUCUAUUCCAUGUUGAUCUCAUAUUUUGUCAUUUUUGUACUAAUCUAUGUGUUGAUUUCUGGAAGAACUUUUCCUUCAUGAAAUUUUCUCAUAUUAAUGUGAAGCAUGCUUUGUAUUUUUUUUUUUUGAAUUUUUAGACAUGAUUAACUAGGUCAAAAUCACUUAGAUCCGAACAUACAAUAGUCUGUCCUACAUUGCUCUGAAUUCUGUUUUGAUAAAAUUGAGUCCAAAAAUGAGUUUGUUUGGUCUUAAUUCCUCCAUGAAAGUUGAAAUACAUGUUGUAUAUGUUCAAUCGAUACAUGCUUUGCAAAGCCUUAAUGUUGGCAAGUGAGUCAAUUGCAUGAUUUAAAGUGAAAAUGUGCUACAACAAUACAGAGCUUAUAUAUGCAUUUUUGUUUUGUCAUUUUUGUUGUGAUUCAUGUGAUCACAUUUAGGUUUCGAACUUUAACGAAAAAUGUUCACUAUUGCAUGCUCUAUAUGUAGGAUUUUUUCUACGUCUUGAGAUGGUUGAAAUCAUUCCUGUUUUGUGAAGUUAAUGCUGAAACGAAAUCUUGUUGUAUGUGCAUCUUGUCAUGCUUGUUUGAGUCAUUUAGAGACCAAGUUUUGCAAUCAUGCCUUCUUGACAAUUAAACUGCAUGUUAUAAGAUUCGCAUACAUGUUUAGGUCAUAUCAUAUUGCACAUUAAAUUUGUUUUACAAAAGUGUUCUUCGCACUUAAGAUUCCAAAGCAUACCAUUAGGAAUCUUGAAUCAUUUUAUAAUGUCAUUUAAAUUGUAUGACAUUUUGCAUGCCGACCUAGGAUUAGAUGGUUAUCCAAAUUUUCCAUUGCAUCCGAUCCUAAGUCCCAUGUGAUUUCUUCAUGCCGUUUGUGCAUUAUUCAAAUAACUUUGAGGUUUUCUAAUGCAUGCUUGUGUUAUGUUUUUCUUAGUUACUAACACGCACACCUUUAGAGAUCUCGAUCUUAGAGUGCCUAAUUGACCUAAGUUGGACUCAAGCCAUUCUAAAAAAUUGUAAGGCAUGCUUAGAGGUUUUCAAUGCCAUUGAUUUGACACAAAUCACUCAUCAUUUGGAAAACUUUCCAUUAUUUUUAAAACUAGAUCAGAAUCUGGAUAGGGGAUCAAAUUCAUACCACUAUUCUAAUGUCAAACUCCAAACCUCAAGCGUACGCACAUCCCUUGGUGGUUGAUAAAAUUGCGACGUCCCAGGACACAUCGCUGACCCUUUCAUUUUAUUGCACAUGCGAAGUGUAUAAAUAAAUCCCCAGACAACACAAAUAUGGGAUAGAAAAGUAGGAUACCAUUUUUACUAAAACAGUUUUCAUAAACAAACUAGUUUAUACACAUAUGCCAACUCUAAGGUCUAUGCACAGGAGGUCUAUCUCCAAAAAGAACUACUGAGCCAUCCAUGCUCCUGACCCUUCUGCCUCAAGUUCCGGGUUCUUCACACUAGGGACUUGAAAAGAUAAGCCCACAAUGGGGUGAGACAAUGUCUCAGCAAGUUCAUCCUCUAAAUCCCGAUUAGAAAGGAAAUACGCCUAGGGGCGUCCUAACCACAUAACCACGCAACCACACAACCGUAGAGACUUACCUUGUCUCAGAUCCUCCUUGUAGGUCAGCACAUUUUUUUUUUUUUUUUGGUAAAAAAGGUUAGCACAAUUCAUAUCACAGACAUAAGCAGUAAUCAGCUCAAUCAAUUGGAAUGCCACAUCUCAUAUCUCACAAAGCCACAGGGGUCUCGAUUAUAAGGCUAAAUCGUUGUGAUACGUCUUAUACCAUACCACACAAUUUUGUUCCAUAAUCAGGCGCGUUAAUUUCACUUAAUCAUGCGUUCCUAAUUUUAAUCUCGGCCCAAUGGGCAUGGCCUACUUGAUGUUCAGCGGUCUUCUGGCGUAAUUAGGUAUCGUCUCACCCUAUUGAGCACGGUAACGUCUCACCUCAUUGCGCAUGGUAAUCCCAAAGGAGCAUUGAUCUAAAAUCUACUGUGACUGGCAUCUGUUGACAAGGGCAUUCCACAUAGGAGCAUCGUCCAGCUUAAUAGCCCAAGACAGUUUCUCAUAACCAACACACGACCAUCCAAUUCCGGCCAAGGAUAUUUUGCUUUGCACUCAAAUGCCUUAACUAAAAUAACAAACUUGGCAUAUUUUCUUCGUAUUAAAAACGCCUGGUGAAGAUAAUUGUGUGUGGGUACACGGUCAAAUCGAACUUUUAAAAAUUAAUAUCCUUCAUUUUAAAAUCCCACUGUUUGAUAUAGUACUUAAAAACAUUUUCGGUAUCAAAACCCGACACAUGGUAAUUUCUAAUUAAUUACCCAAAUUUCCAAAUCUUGAAUUAAAUACUCAAAAUUACAAUCACUACUCAAUUUGCACAAAUUAAUAAUCAAUUGCAUAAACUAAGCAUACCAUUGCAAUCAGCACGAAAUUCCAAUCAUCAACUAUCUCAGUAUAAUUUUCAGAAGAUAAUAAAUAAUUAAAUAAAUUACAAAAAUAAUUAAAUAAUGCAAAUUAAAUACAAUAAAUAUUAACUCAAGCUGGAAAUGCUAAUCUAACCACCUAAACGGGCCUAGAAAAUUUUCGCACCUAUCUAGAUAAAUAGUACAAUCUAUCUACCCUUAAUUAAUCUAUAACCACCUAACAUUCAUAAAUAAAUAAUUAAAUCACUAAUCUAAACUAACUAACCACCAAAUCCACACUUAACCUAAUUUAAUUAUCUACAAAGCGUUAUUAACUUCAUAAGCAGAGUUCAGUAAGUAAACUCAUCGGUUUAGUGAGGCGGUGAGUCCACGGUGAUGGCGACACGAAGGUGAGCGACAAACAAGCUUGCGACAACACCAAGCGGGGUCUAGACGGGCCUUAAAAUGGGCCUAGAAGUCCAACAACCCCUACUGGCCUUCAGCCUCUGUCCUUGGGCCGAAGGGCUUGAAUGUGCGGCCUAGUUGGGCUGAAACGGCCACGGAUGGAUGGCGGUGGCUGGAACAGCUCCUAGUGAGCUUGACGGAUGUGGAGGGUGGCUCGACGGUGACGGACAGUAGCCAGGCGAUCUCAACAGUGGCUAGGCAACUCAGGAUGGCGGUUGGGCACAAACACGAGGAGGGACGAGCACGCGGGCACGAGGGACGCGUGGACAGCUCGCGGGCGGUGUGCGACUAGUCCGGCGACUUCAAGCGGUGGUCAACAGUGAAGGAGGAAGGCUGGCUGGUUUCUUUGAUUUUUCUUGUGCUCCAAACAUGCUAAAAUGGAGAAAGUGAGGCCAAGGGAAAAAGAAGAAGCUGCUGAAGAUGAGGAAGGGUCACAACAUAUCCAAAAUGCUUGAGUGCUAUGCCCCACUAGCCAUGGCUAUCAUCCUUAGCCAAUUUGCAGCCUUUCAAGCUUCCUUAGCAAGCCAUCCAAGGGUCCAAAUGUUGCACACCCCAAGCACCUACAACUUUUGGACAAUUUCCAUCCAAUUGGACUGAAUUCCUUCUCUAAUUGAGCUCAAUUUGGCCUCCAUAAAUUCCAUUAAGGUGCCCACGUCCAUCUUAUGAUUUUUCUUUGUCAAUUGAACCAACUUGAUAGCAAAAAAUGCAACAAAAAACUGCCCUCUAAUUUUCUCGAUUCAAAAUAGCCUUACUUUGCAUUUUUUUGCCGAAAUCUCGGGUUUGCAGAAAAAUCUUCAGAGAACGAGUCGACGUUCCUAAAAUAAAUUGUGACAUGACAAAACUUUCAAUUUCUAAAAUCGAGUUUAAAUUUGUGGUUAAUUUCAACCGGGCACGAUUUUAACGUGACCUAACCUACCGAAUAGCUUUUAGGAAUUUUUGGUGCAAUCGACCUGUAGUUGAUUAUUUUCGAGCUACAUUGUGCAUCUUCAACUCAUUGGCAACUCUAGAUUGUCGUGAAAAUUUCGAGAUUUCAAAUACGGGCACAUAAUACAGAAAUGACAGAAAAAUUGGUUUAGUGCCAUUCGACGAGAAUUUUGUAAUGAGGUGGAAUCACCCACACUUUAAUCACGUACCUCAGUCAAAUCGACCUAUCUCCAAUCUCUGAUCGAUUUUGACAGUGUCGUAUUGACAAUUGCAAAUUAGCACGGUCGAGCAGUCGAUUUCUAAUCGAAUUCUCAAAUCAGUUGCGUUUAGGUUCUUUAACGGCUUCACUUGAUAGGCUAGUUAUCUUGUAAGUGGCCAACUCAGAGACAACGGUCAUAGGCGCGUCAAUGAAAAGCCCGUUUCAUUUCAUCGAAAACAUGGUUGAAAAUUAGGAUGUCACAUCUAACCCCUAUUUGGAUAGACCUUUGACAUUUUUGUUCUAUUUUUUCUGCAUGGAUUCUGUAUUUGACCUCUCAAUAAAACGUGCUUGCUAACAUGUUGGCUAUAUUGUGCAAAAAUUUGGUGAUUUUUAGACUUGUUUUGAUAGGACAAAUCCUUGUGAUAUUGGCUGAGUGUCUUGUUGUUUUGACUAUUUUCUGCCAUGGUGUUGCUUGUUGUUUAAUUUUUGUAAAAUCAUGUGUAGCUCGUUUGGUAAAACUUUCUUCACAAAAGUUGUUUGUUAUCUUGUUGUGCAUGUUAGAGAAUUUUUUCAUCACAAAAUUAUCAUUAGAUAUUUCCCAAUCUUGUUGUUUUUAUAUGCUUGUUUUGAAUUCCUUGAUAUGAACUUGAUUGUGAUUGUUUUGAUAAACUUCCUAGGUUAGUUUGUGCAUUAACCAAAGCCAUUCCAUCUUCAUAAAAUUUAUUUUAAAUACCUCAAUAUUCAUUGUUAAAUGAUUUUCGAUGAAUUUUCUUUUCAAAUCAAAUUUAAAAAUGCUUUGGUCCAUGUGAUGUUUUCCAAAAACAAUUUAUUAAAAAGUACUUUUCCAAAAGCUCGAUUUGCUUAAGGAAGAGUCAUGUUUUGAAUCAUAUUCAAAAUGCCUACAACACUUGUGAGUCCAUUUAUGCGAGCCUUGAGCUAGUCUUGGCAAUUGAAUGUGUUCCAUAGCCUAGUUAUUCCUUAAUCCAAAAUAUUUUCAAAAUUUUUCUCAAAUCCUGAUUUGAUAAUUGUGAACGUCACAGUUUGGAUUGUAUUUAAAAUGCUUGCGAUGCUUGUGAGUGUAAUUAUGCGAGCCCCAAGCUAGCCUUGGCAAGUGAAUGUCUUUCAUAACCGAGACAUUAUUUUGUCUCAAAACUUUUUGUGAACGAUUUCAAAAGAUGUUUUUGAAACAUCAUAUAAUCACGUCAUUCAUAAGAAAAGUCUGUGUUUGUAAUUGACGCAUACUCCUGACAAUAAGUAACCCGUUGACAGUUUACUUUCUUGCUUGAUUGGCUAAGAAAUAAGGUCCAAAUGACCUGCAUGCAUGUUUAAUUCCUGCAAUACAUGUGACUUUUAGAUGUAUUGUAGGGUUGAUGCAUGAUAUUGAGGGAAAACCUUGGGAUCACAUAGAUCGCUUGGUUAGGAAACUUAUAAAUGAUAUUGGCUAUGCGAGAACACAAUUAAUCAAUAAUGACUGUAAGUCAUAAAAUAAAUUGGGUAUGUAUCUUAGAGGGACCUACGCAUGAAUUUCAAAGGCUGAUCCCGAGGCCCAAAUCUUCCUUUUGCAUUGAAUUUCUUUCGAAAGAUUGAUUUUGUCAUGAUGUCGUGUUUUUUUAUUGUUUUGAUGUGUAUGCUUGUUUUUUUUUUUUUCCAUUAUAUGCACCUAGUUAUAUAAUUUUGUAGUCUAGGUUUAGAUUAGGAUCCCAAAGAUAGAGAAUACAUGAAAAUGGUGGAUGUCGAUGUCCAUUUCGACCAUAAUCAUAUAUUAUUCAUUUCCUUGGCAUAUGUCUUGGGUUCUCAUCGUCUGUAUAAAGCUUGACGAGGUGCGAGUCCUCUCUUCUUAUCAUUUUCAAUUGCGUUUCUCUUUUGUAUUUUCUAGGAUUGCAUGUUAGAUUUAUUGCUUUCCUUAAUUGUUUACUUACUAUCUCGUAAUUUUAAUUCCAUUGAUUGCUUUCUUUUCUUAUUUUCUAGAAAUAGAAUAGUAUGAAAAUGACUAACCGCACAUGAUCAUUUUAUGACUAACGAUCCCAAAAAUGUAAGAAGAAAUGCAUGAACAUGUUAGGUAAACACAACCUACUGUUUAGGUACCAAAAGUGCGCUGAUAGAAAUAUUGGCGUAACUCAAGUUCCUGAACCUAGAUAUCUGUUUGCGUAGGAAUUGAGGGAAUACUCCCGACUCUUGAUUGGGUUUCUAGCUGACCCCUAAAAAUGAGACUAAUGGUGACUUCGACUCCCGUCUUAUUUUUAGGUUGUGCUAAACAACUAGACCAUAUAAAUGAACCUAUGAUGUGGACAAGGCUCAACAUGGUUUAGCAAUAUCCAUAUGUGGAAACUGUUAGGGAAAUCCCUUAUGAUGUUUUGAAGAUGACAAAAUAAAUCAAAGGCUACUAACAUAUUUAAUUGUUGAGUAACAAACUAUGCAAAUGAUUGAACAUGUAAAGGAUAUUAUCAAAGUCUAUACUUAGAAGAACCAGAAAACAAACUUUAUAUUGAAACUGAACUUAUUCAGACUAUGUUCGGACCUUAAAGCUAAACAUGUUCAGAAACAGAUUAUGUUCAGACUGAUGUUCAAAUUGUAAAGUCUAUUACACUCAGACUCAGAUUGUAAAAUCUAUUACACUCAAACUUUACUUCAAACAGAACAAAGCAGGUCCAGAACGAGACAGAACAUAACACAAGCCCUAAAUGUAUAACGGUUAGUGGUUUGUUUUGGAUUUCACAUCAAGAUUGAUUUGAUUGACUCAAUCUAAUUGAUUGACAAUUGGUUCUUGAAGACAAUAACUUUCUAUACAAAGAAGCUUUAUUUAUAGAAACUAAGAUUCUGUUUGAUGGACGAUUAGAAUCAAUUUGGGAUUCUACUUCUAUCACUCAACGGCUACCAAAUUUUCUAGAUACAGAUCUGUCGAAUGGGUAGAUUGAAAGACGAUCCUCAAGAUACUGUCCAACAGCUAGUUUGGAAGUGAAGGAGUAUUUAAGGAGAUGAAGGACCGAUGAGCAAGUAAGAGAUGAAGCGUAUAAUUUAUAAUUCCAAAGUUUGAGCGAACUUCGAUCAUACACUUGUCUCUUGUGAGCUUAAACGUUUGUGAUUGUGAGAGAAAUACCGAAAGAGUAACUUAGUGAGAUAGUGUGAUCUACUGCUAAGUGUUUGCACUCAAAGUUGUAAUCUCUUGUUGAUUACAUAGUGGAAUCUAGUUAUAAGGAUGUUAGCGUGGGAGAGUGGACAUAGGCUUGAUCUAAGCCGAACCACUAAAAAUUUCGUGUGCAACAUUCUAUUUCCUUAACUCCUUUACUUUAUUUACUGCGAUAUACUUAUGUGUUUUGAAAUAGUCGUUAAAGUUUGAUUCCUUCUGCAAAGUCUGUAGUCGACCAGACUCGGGUUAAAAGUAAAGUUUUUUACUGCAUUUUGCAAAAUCUAUUUUAACACAUAUUCACCCCCUCUAGGUGUUCGUACUAGCACUUUCAAUUGGUAUCAAAGCUAAGUGUUCGAUUUAUAAAAGUGUUUUUAUUUUUGAGUUAAAGAUUUUCUAUGGCUAGUAUUUUGGCACCAAGACUUAUGGAAGGGCAAAGUAAUACCAGGCCACCAUAUUUUGAUGGAAAGGAAUACAACAUGUGGAAAAACAAAAUGAAAGCAUUCCUAAGAUCUAGAAAUCCCUUACAAUGGGAUGUUGUGGAAAAAUGAAUCAAUCCCACUAUUGCGUCUAUAUUGAAUAAGAAUGGCAAAGACAAAGAAACCAAACCCCCUGCUCCUAUGUCUCAAACGGAGAUAUCCAAAAGAGAAGUUCUUGAUGCAAAAGCCAUUUAUUCUUUAUAUUACGCUUUGUCUCUUACUGAAUAUAACAGAAUCUCUUCAUGUGAAACAGCAAAGAAGUUUGUGAUAAACUCCAUGUCACUUAUGAAGGGACUGAUUGUAUUAAAGAGACAAAAGUAAACUUCUUACUCGGCAAAUAUGAAUCCUUCAAGAUGAAGCAAGGAUAAUCGAUUGGAGAUAUGUUCAGCUGUUUUACAGAAAUUGUAAAUGGUUUAGCAUAUCAAGGUCAGCCAAUUUCUACCCCAAUGAAGGUCAGCAAACUUUUGCGAGGUCUCUCAAAAGAUUGGAACCAUGUCAAGACCUCAAUUUGGGAGACUCAAAGGAUUAUGUCACUCUCCGUUGAUGAAUUGAUUAACACUCUUCAAUCCUACGAAGUAGAACAAAUCAACGACAAAGAUCCCGAAGGUAAAAAGUCUAUUACUUUAAAAUCUAAUGCUAAUUCUAAUGAUAUGGACUUAGAAAAUGACAUGGACGACAAAGAACUUGCUUUUAUGAUCAAGAAAUUCAAAAAACUGAGUAGAAAAGGAAAGAAAUUCAAUGGAAUAAGACAAUACAAGCAUAAUGGGUAGAAAAGAACCAUGAAAGAAGAUGAUGAAUAAGGAAAUAUAUGCUUCAUGGCACAUUUAGACUCAGACUCAAAAUUUGGAAUCAGAAUCGGAGUCUAACUAAGAUAUAGACUCAGAAUCAAAGUCUGACUUAGACACAAACUUAGAAUCCGAUGAGGAAAACGAUGUAAGUCAUUCAAAAAUUCCUAUCAAAGUUUCAAGGUAUCUAAAUGAGCUUUGCUUAAAUCUCAAAUCCUCUCUCAAAAGGAUCUCCGAACUAAAAAGUGAGAAUUCAUGGCUUAGGCAACAAGAUCUUUCUCAAAAAGAAAAUUUUGAAAUUUUGCAAAAAUAUUUUCUACAAAUAAAAGAAAGUCGAGAUUUACUUAUCAAAGAAAAUGAUUCUUUGAAGAAAGAAUUUUCAAAUAUUUGAACAAGAUUUUCAAAUGGUUCAAAAACAUUAGAGCAUAUCCUUUCCAUACAAGUACAUUACUAUAAUAAGUCGGGACUUGGUUUCAUUAAGGAAAGUGAUUCUCUAAUAGAUUUUCUUAAAGUCAAGGAGAGAUUUAGACAAAGACCUCCUAAACUUGCGUACAAAAAGCAUUUUCAAAGGAUAUUUACAAAACCUGUUGGUCAAAAUGCCCUCAGGUGUUCAAAUUGUAGAGAUUCAGAACACUUUGAAAAAGAAUGUCUUAAAGUCUGGUGACCUAUUAAGAAAGAUUAGGUAAAAACAACAUACUCUACUAACUCUCAUGGACCCAAGAAAAUAUGAGUACCAAAGAAAGUAUGAGCUAUUUUUGCAGGAAAUAAAGGAAAAUGAGAAAUUGGUAAGGAAUGUAUUUUUUUUUUGGGCACAUAAUUCUCAUUAUGCUUGAUAUUCGAUAUAUUUUUGGUUGCUUGAGAUUUUAUAAUGAUCAUAUUUUAUUUUGUUGAAAAAAGAAUUGUAUGAUUUGUUUUUGUGAUUUGUGAGUUGCGAUUUUAUUUAAUAUGUGUGAUUGAUUUGAUAUCUUUCUUAGAGAUAAUGCAAAUUAUUUUGUCUAAUUUUAUGCUCUCUAAUUUUGUCAUAUUUUGCAAAGUGAAAAUCUGUUUUAUGUGAUAUUAAUUUAUUGUGCAAAGAUAUUCUUUCCUUAAUACUUUGUUACGAUGAAUUAAGAAUGAAUAUCUGUUUAUUUUCUAUUUUACUCUAAUGAAAUGGAAUGAUCCAAAUUGAUGGACACCAAAAAGGAAAUGAGUUGAUUGCAGGAAAUUCAAUAAGGUAAGAAUGAUUAUGAAUCUACGUAGAUUUUGGUGCAAUAAGAAAAUAAUCUUAGGUGAAGAUUGGUAAUGAUUUUUUUUUUUAUCAAUGGUAUAUUGCAAUCAUAUACCUUGGGUAAGAGAAUAUUUUUGCAAAUCUUUACAUACAUUUAUCAUGAUUUUAGAUGAUUGCCUAUGAAUUAAAUAUGAUUUAUAUUGCAAAUAUCUUUUGUUAUAAACAUAAGGUAUUGCAUUUAUUUUUUAAAUUAAAUUGGUUGAUUUGGCACGUGAUAAAAAUAUCUACUUUCAUUUUGCGAAAUGCAUCAAUAAUAUAUUUUUUGAGAUUUAUGCUUAAGGAAAUCCCUUAGAUCUUGAAAGAUAUUAUUGCGUAUUUAUGGAUACUCUUGAUAUAUUCUUAAAAGAUAUCUUAUAUCUAGCAAGUUUGAUCCACGAAUCGAAGGAAGAUAUUAUGUGAUAUUUUUACAAAGAUUGUUAUCUGUUAUAGAAUUUGCAGGUGGCAAAAGAAUCUUCUAUAUGGAUUUUGAAAAGCUUGAUUCGAAAAUCAUGGAGAUACUAUACUAUCUUUUGGAGGCUCAAAAAUUCCCUUGUGCAAAGUUUUUGCAAAUUGUUAAGGAAAUUCAUUAAUGUGUCGUACGAAAGGUUGAGUAGUUCUAAAUUUUAAUAAUUAAUAAUUUUAUAUAUGCUAUUCAAUUUAUUUAUUUGAAGAAAGGACAUUAUAUAUUAUGUGGAUAUUAUUACAAAUUAUUUGUGCAAAAAGUUUGUUAAGUUUAUUCUUACAUUUUACCAAAAAAAAAAAAAAAGUUUGUUAAGUUUAUGUGGGUUGAAUUCGAGAAGAACUUGAUUGAAGAAAAUAAAUUUUUGCCUCUAAUUUCAAAAUGCAAAUGAUCGUUGUGGAUAUUGUUGUUACGAAGAAAAUAAUGGAAAAAAUUCUGCUCAACGUGCACAAGCCACAAUUAGUGCUAUUUGCAAAUAUUGUCAUGAUGAUAGGGGGAGAAAGCGAAUCCAAGAGAAAAGAAAGAAUCGUGAUCAUCUCAAAAAGGCAACAAAUUGAGGGGGAGCAUUGAUCAAUUAUGGAAAAAUCUUUUUGAAUCGAUCGUAAUCUUGAUUAUUAUGGAAGAAAGGAAAAAGGUAAAUGUGUUAGAACUUACCAAGUUCUACAAAAUCCAGUGAGUGCAUCUUUUAUUACCUUUUAUUAUUAAUAAAUCUAUUAUUUACAUUAUCUUUUUUAUGAAAAAAGGAUAAGUGAAUAUUAUAAUGCAUCCAUGAUUUUUAAUUGAAUAUUUGCUGAUAUAUAUGAUUGAAGUGAGCCAUAUUUCAUAUCUUUAAUAUUCGAGUUAUUUUGUAAAAGCUGAUUUUUUGGAAAUUGUAUUUCAUGCAAGAUAUAUUUAUCGUUUUAUAUUCUCUACAUGAUAUCAUUAUCGCUUUUUGAUUAUGACAAAAAGGGGGAGAGAAUAUAAAUAUGCAUAUGUGUUGAUAUUUAUUGAGCUGUGAUUAUCUUUACAUAUAUAAUUAUAUGCUCAAUCUAUUUGUUAUCUUGAAUUACAUUAGUCUUUAAGAUUGCAUUGAUUUAUUAUCAAUAUUUUAGAAAGUGUGAUUACACAUCUGCAUAUUUAGAGAUUGUUUUGUCAUCAUAAAAAAUGGGGAGAUUGUUAGGGAAAUCCCUUAUGAUAUUUUGAAGAUGACAAAAUAAAUCAAAGGUUACUAAUGUGUUUAAUUGUUGAGUAACAGAUUAUGCAGAUGAUAGAAUAUGUAAAUGAUGUUAUCAAAGUCUAUACUUGGAAGAACCAGAAGACAAACUUUUAUGCUGAAAUUGAACUUAUUCAGACUGUGUUUAGACUUUAAAGUUAAAUAUGUUCAGAAAUAGAUUAUGUUCAGACUGGCGUUCAGAUUGUAAAGUCUAUUGCACUCAGACUCUACUUUAGACGGAACGAAGCAGAUCCAGAACAAGACAUAACGUAACACAAGCCCUAAAUGUAUAAUGGUUAUUGAUCUUGUUUGGAUUUCACAUUAAGAUUGAUUUGAUUGACUCAAUCUAAUUAAUUGACAAUUGGAUCUUGAAGACAAGAAUUUUCUAUACGAAGAAGUUCUACUUAUGGAAAUCAAGAUUCUAUUUGUAUGAGUGAUCAGAAUCAAUUUGGGAUUCUACUUCUAUCACUCAACGGCUACCAAAUUUUCUAGAUAUAAAUCUGUCCAAUGGGUAGAUUGGAAGACGAUUCUCAAGAUACUAUCCAACGGCUAGUUUGAAAGUGGAGGAGUAUCUAAGGAGAUGAAUGACUGAUGAGCAAAUAAGAGACGGAGUGUAGAAUUUAUAAUUCCAAAAUUUGAGCGAAUUUCGAUCAUAGACUUGUCUCUUGUGAGCUUAAACGUUUGUGAUCGUGAGAGAAAUACCAAAAGAGUGACUUAAUGAGAUAGUGUGAUCUACUACUAAGUGUUUGCACUCAAAGUUGUAAUCUCUUAUUGAUUACAUAGUGGAAUCCAGCUAGAAGGCUAUUAGCGUGGGAGAAUGGACGUAAAUUUAAUCUAAGCCGAACCACUAUAAAUUUUGCGUGCAACAUUCUCUUUCCUUAACUCAUUUACUUUAUUUGUUGCGAUAUACUUUUGUGUUUUGAAAUAGUUGUUAAAGUCUGAUUCCUUCUGCAAAGUCUGUAGUCGACCGGACUCAGGAUAAAAGUAAAGCUUUUUAUUGCAUUUUGCAAAAUUUGUUUUCACACAUGUUUACUGCCCUCUAGGUGGUCGUACUAGCACUUUCAGAAACAGAUUGGCCCCCUUCCAAAUGUCCGAAUGCGAAAUCAAGUUACAAUCAUUGGAAUUUUAGAGAGCUCAUACGGAAUGUAAGCAAUAUGUUGCAAGAAGGUCAUAUGCGCUAAAUUACCCCAAGUUUGGGUUCAAGUUGCAACUCUUCCAAUUGGAUGAAAUUAUAAAUUCCAUGAUAACUGCAUGUCACUAUCAUUGACUAGGCAUGUCUAAACUAAACUGAAAUUUUGUACAUUCUCGGUUCGGUUUAAUUUUCGAUUCGAAUAAUGGAAAAAUAAUUGUUCAUUGUUUUUAUUUGAGUUAUUUCGAUUCAAUUCGGUUAACUGACCCAAAAUGAAUUUAUCAAUAAAAAUUGAACAUCCAACUUAAAUAUAUCUUUUUUCUUAUUGCUUAUUCAAUUUGGUUCUAGUCAGCAGGGCAAAAGGAAAAGGAAAAUCAAAUCGGGUUUUCAGUUUAGGUAGUAUUCAGUUCCGAUCAUGAUUGGUUUUCUGCCAGAAAAACAGAUCAGCCCCCCUCCAAAUGUCCGAAAGCUCUCCUUAAUCUUCUGUUGAGGCACCCCUGAUGCCUCCCUCGCUUGAGCUAGCAAUCUUUUUAGUUAUGCAUCCCUUUCCACCACGCCAGCUCGGCGAUUCUAGAGGGUGCGUGGAUCCGCUUUAGUCACUCGUCUGUCUCUCCUUCACGUCAGGCUAGUGUCAUGGUCCGUGAAUCCUCCCGUACUCAUAACACUUGUGAGUGGCACUUGGGGUUAUCUGGUGAAGAGUGUGAGGUACAAUGGUAGAAUACAACUGGUCCAUGGGAGUGGCGUCAGGACGGUUGGUGUUAGGAGUUCUAGAAUGGAAUGAUUAUAUCACUUGGGAGCUUUGAAGACGGGUUGGGAGCUGAUGCCGCUCUCCUGAUGAGGUCAUGGCAGGCCGAAACCAGUUGUUGUGCCUAAAGAGAACUGUUGUCCCAUUCGAUGGACUAGAUGCCUGAGCGAAGCUGGGCGUGGUGGGAUCUCGUACGAAGAAGCAUUCACCGUAUUGUUUGUCGAACAGCUAAAGAAGGAAGGCUGGCCUAGCGAAUUCCGCUUGCUAGGCGCUCGCAGGUUGUUUCGAGGCCAAGGAAACUUUUGGCCCAUAACAAAUGGUAUCAGAGCAGGAAUACCUCUCGUAAGUGAGUGAGUCGGAGAAUUGGACUCCUCGCUCCAGCAUGAGUCGAACUGAUAAGUACUAGUGAGACUGGUCUUAGUGGGCGGAAAGUGAAUGGCCGGGGCAAAAGAUGCUCAAACGAAGCUGCGCUCUCUGCUGCUAAGAUGACAAGGGUGCUAGGACGAGUUCGUUUCUUGCUGAGCAAAUAGCAAGUCCGAGAAGAAUUGAAUUCUCGUUGAAUGGGGAUAACGUUCCUAGAUUGAUCGGUGAAUUCGAAGAAGAGGUCUACUGCCACAUUUUCAACAAGAAAAGAACCUCCGUUGGUUUGCUGGGGUCAAGAUGUUGGUUAGGCUGAACUUGUGCUGCCAAAAGAUGCGGUUGGCGAAAAAUACCACACUUGCCAUAAAGCACAGGUAACCGAGAAGGGCCGAGCGGCUGAGCUCAAAAGAGGCUACUGAUGGAGCAAAACCUAUUUUGUUGGGCGAGCGUGAUCGUUCGAUGUGAAUUCCCAAAAGUGGCACAUCAAUGGUUAAGGGACGCAAGGAAGCGACAGAACAGAUCACAACGAGGGCAUUGCGAAUUGAGUGGGGGAGAAUGUCACAGUCUGUAAAUCCUCCUGUACUCGUGAAACUUAUGAGUGGCGCUUGGGGUUAUCUGGUGAAGAGUGUGAAGCAGAAGGGUAGAACACAAUUGGUCCGUGGGAGUGGCGUCAGGACGGUUGGUGCUAGGAGUUCUAGGAUAGAAGGAUUAUAUCACUUGGGAGUUCUGAAGACGGGGUGUCACACCCUGAUCCUCAUGCACGCGCACAUCCCUUACCUUUGGUCGAUUUUAAAUUGCGAUAUCCCAGGACUAUGUAUCGCCGACCCUUUCAUUCAUUUAUGCACAUGUGGAAGCAGUUAUAAAUCCCAAAACAAUAAAAUAAUGGGAUAGAAAAGCGGGCCAUAUAUUUUUCAUACUAAAAAUUCACAACCACAUCUUUUUACACGCAUCUCAUAGUAUUCUACAAUACUAUAUACGUAAGUUUGAUUUAACAUCUAUUUACAUGCAGAUAAGGUCUGAUAAGACAGGACGGGAUCUCAGUCCUCAUCCGGGUCGUACUCGGGGUUAUCCUCGGGGUUCUCCUCCUUAGUACUCCUCUUCAGGCUCCUCAUCAGGGAUCUCCUCGUCAAAUUCCUCCUCCUUAGGCUCCUCAUCUGGGUCCUGAAAUGGUUAUUCAAUAACCACUGAGACAACGUCUCAGCAAGUUCUACUCCCUAAGACCCGAUUAGUAAACUAAUACACUUUAAGGCUGCCUAUGCACAACAUGAGUCAGAGGACUUACCUUGGCCUCAGAUUUUACCUGCAUAUCAGCACAGAUUAAAUAGGCACCCAAGCAAUCACAUCAUAGAUCGAAGCAUCGAUCUAAUCAACUUAGUCGAUUACACGCCAACAAGACCACUCAAUGUCAUUUCCAUUCAAUCGAUCAAUCAACAGCAUCAAAUCAAGAUAAUAAUCAAUCGACCUAGUCGAUUACAUACCAACAAGACCACUCACAAUCAUUUCAAUUAUUCCAACUCAAUUCCCAAUUAUAAAUCACGGUCCUUAGGACACAACUUAUCUAUAGGUGGUAAUCACGGCCCCACCAAGAAACUUUUUUAGAUUUAGUGGCUUUACGGUCCCACCCGACCCUUCCAAGAUUCAAUGGCUUUACGGUCCCACCCGACCUUCUUAAGAUUCAAUGGCUUUAUGGUUCCACCCGACCUUUCCAAGAUUUAAUGGCUUUAUGGUCCCACCCGACCCUCUCAAGAUCUAGUGGAUUUAUGGUCCCACCCGACCUUUCCAAGAUCUAGUGGCUUUAUGGUCUAACCUGACCCUUUUUACGAUGCCAUACUUUGUCACCGAGCCACGUGCAUUCUCCAAGAAGACAUGCCGAGUCUCUAAGCCACGUGCAUUCCCUAAGGUUACCUUUUCGCCAAGAUGACAUAUCCAAUCACUGAGCCACGUGUCUUUCCCAGGUGACAUUCCAAUUCACUGGGCCACGUGCAUUUUCCAGGUGAUUUACCAACUCACUUUCAAUACUGACAACCGAUACCCAACCAAUUCUCAAUCACAAGGUCAAAAUUGCAUUAUUUAAUAACAUAACUUAAAAAUGCACCAUUAAAUCAAUUCGACACGAAUUAAAGCGCAAAUAAAUAAACGGACUGCUCCACGACAAUCAGCAUGAAAUUUCGGUCACCAGCCAUCCCGGUUGAAUUUCCGGAAAAUAAAUAAUUAAAUAAUUAAUUUCGAAAAUUAAAUAAAUAAACACAAUAAUUCCAAUUUAGCACAAUAUGAAGCUCAAUUAAAUAAACGGACUACGCCACGAUGAUCAACAUAAAAUCCCGAUCACUGGCCAUCCCAGUUGAAUUUCUGGAAAAUAAAUAACUAAAUAAUUAAUUUCAAAAAUUAAUAUUUAAUUCCUAAAAAUUCCAAUUAGGCCCGAAUCGCCUAAUUAACACCCGAUAAGGGUCGGGAAAAAUCUCAAGAAGCAUCCAAUACAUACUAUAGGCUAUUCUCCAUCUAAGUAUACUAAUCAAACAACUGAUAUGCAAUGCAAUUAACUAAUAAUCGCUAAUUAAUUCUAAUAUAACCACCUAAUUAAACUUAAUUAACACUAAUCAACAUUUAAGUAUAAUUAGCAAACUAAGAAGGCAUUAGUGAGUAAAACUCACUCAAAACGACGGCAUCGAUGCAAGGAUCGACUUUUCUCAAAGCGGGCCGAGCAUUUGGGCUCGGGAAGGCGGCCAAAACGGGUCACGAAGGUGCUACCAUACCUAUUUUGAACCUCUCUGCUUGCUGCUGGAUGGGGUAGAUCCGGGGCCGGUUGAGGCGAGUAAGGGCGGUGGAGGGCAAGGCGGAGCUUUAGCAAGGUCGACGGUGGCUGGAGGUGGUUGGGUGGCGGCCUGAGGCGGCUGAAUAGGACUGAACAGAGGCGGAACAGGGGCUAGGGUCGCAUGGUGGGGAUGUCUGGACGAUGGAGAGAACAAGCGGUCGCGCGGCUGCACAUGUGCUCGCGUGGGGACGGGCGACCGGCGACCGGCGGAGCAUGGGCGGCGACGGCGGGCUUCUCCAAACCUAGGCGAGCUGCUCCAAACCCAGGAGCAUGGGCACAAAACAGAGAGGAGGGAGAGAGUGCGUCGACGAAAAGAGAAGGGGCAGAGUUGCGAGCAGAUAGUAGGGCGGCAGUGACGGCAGCUCUGAUGACGGCUGCAACGGCGAUGGCAGCUCCUGCUUCGCUAGUUCCUCGGCUUGCUGGGUUUCACUGGUCUUCAGUUGCUGCUCUAGAAGAAAUCGAAAGAAAGGGGAAGAAGAUGGAGGUGCUCGACGAAGGAGAGAGGGGAAACCGGUUUUCUCUUCCUCUCUCUCUCUCUCUCUCUCUCUCUCUCUCUCUUUGGCCCCACCAAUCCAGCUAUCUUCCACUCACUUUUCCUUGCCAAAAAUGCCGCUUCUAGAAGCUUUAAGGUAGGCCAAAAUGUAGGGUAGAUGUGGCAUACGAAUUUUGCUAGGUUUUUCCCUCCAAUUGGACCUUAAUCCCACUUGAAUCAAAUCAAAUCGACCCCCAUUAAAUUAUUUAAUACCUCAUCAAUCAAAUUGGUACUUUUCUUUACCAAUGUAGCCUACUUGCAUCCUAAUUUCGAAUUCAAGAACGGUCCUCUGCAAUUUCCGAUAAAAAUGGCCCUAACUCAACUUUUUCCCAAAAAGUCUCGAUUGUGAGAAAAAUCUUCUGAGACUGAGCCGAUGCUUUUAAAAUGACCUGUGACAUGACAAACUCUUCAAUUUCUAAAAUCGGACUUAAAUUGGCGGUUAAUUUCACUCUAACGCGCUGUUAUUGUGACCUAGGCUACUAGAUCGUUUUCAUAACUUUUUAGGACAAAUGACCCGUGGUUGAUUUUCUUCGAGCCACAAUGAACCCACUCAACACAUUGAAGACUCUUGAUUGUCGUGAAAAUCUCUAGGAUUCAAAUAUGGACAUAGGGUACCAAAACAACAGUAAAAUCAAAUUAGUGCCGGUCGAUGAGAAUUUUCCAAUUUAGUGUAGUCACCCACGAUCGAUCAUUUAUCUCAAUCGAACCGACAUAUCUCUAAUUUCAAAUCGAUUUUAUACUGUGUCGCAAUGAUCUCUAAAGAUGAGCACGGUCGAGAAGUCGAUUCCUGGUCAAAUUCUCAAGUUUAUUUGCCUUAAAGUCCUUAAUAGCUCACCCAGCUAAUCUAGUUAUCUCGUGAGUGGCCAACUCAGAGAAAAACACUGUAAUCGCGUCGAUAAAAUGCCAAAUUUAUCUAAUCGAAAUCAGACCCCGAAAUCUGGAUGUCACACGGAGUAGGCCUCCUGUGCACAAACUGGUCGAGAUCUGAUGCCACUCUCCUGACGAGGCCAUGGCAGGCCGAAACCAGUUGUUGUGCCUAAAGAGAACUGCUGUCCCACUCGAUGGACUAGACGCUCGAGCGAAGUUGGGCGUAGUGGGAUCUCGUACGAAGAAGCAUUCACCGUAUUGUUCGUGGAACAGCUAAAGAAGGAAGGCUAGCCUGGCGAAUUCUGCUCGCCAGGCGCUCGUGGGUCGUUCUGAGGCCAAGGAAACUCUCGGCCCGUGACACUAGGCUCACGCAUGCCUUCUUCGUCAAUUCUUUUCUCGCACCACAGUCUUACAAGCGUUCACCUCAUGGCUAUGCACGUGUAGGGGAAGAAGAAAUGAUGGACUGGGUUUUCUCCUUCCAUCCACUUUAUCGGGCCAAAUGGCAAUGAAAUAGGGCCUAAAAAGGUUGAGCCUAAAAAGGCAUGCUAGCGUGGGCUUAAAGAGAAUUAAAGAAAAUUGGGCUUAAAAGAGACAGCAAAAGAUGGGGCAAGGGAAUUAAAACAAACGGGCUGGACUAAUAAAGGCUUAGAGGGCCGAAAAUUUGUUUAAAGGAGUGGGUUAAAAAUGCUGGCCCGCUCAUUCUCACCAUUUUUUAUUUCAUUUUUGUUUGGUCCAAUUUAUUCAUUUUUUUUCAAUUUUUUUUUCUUUUUAUCUUUUAUAAUUUUUUAUUAUAUUUUUUUGCAAAAUAAAUGGAUAUUUUGGAAAGAAAACAUCAACAAAAAUUCGAGUGUCAACAAACACGAGACCAGUGAUGAGGGUUGCAAGGGCUUCACCGGCGAACGACAACAGAUUAGGUAGUUCUAUUGGAGGCUCGGCCAGCAAGAUCAAGAACUCGCUGGUACUGGUUCGUGGUCUCCUUAAGUAUGAGCCCGAGACCCGGGAUGUUAUGUGAAGCAUGCAUCGCUCAAAGUCACGCAAAAUGCAGGAGUCUUGAGCGGUGAACAUUAAUUGAAGAAGUAUGCAAAUCUUGACGUUUGCUUCGUUCAUCAAUGCAUGCGCCCAUGGAGUGGGACAUCCAAUUUUGCCCUCAUUUAAUGCACGCACAUGGCUAUGUGCAUGCAUGCCCGUAGAAAUUGGUGGGCGCCCUUGCUGCUUUGAGGCUCGUCUUGAAGGCGACAAUGUUCUCUCCUCUUUUAUCAUCUUUCGUGGGUUAAGUUUGUCUUUUAUUAAUGAUUAGAGGAAAGGAAGAAGUCGAAGUUAUGCUGAUUUUUCUUAUGUCGGUGAGAGUUUUUUUUUUUUUUUUUUUAUAUGAGCUACAUUAAUUAAUAAUGUGAUUUACAUUUUUACGAGAUUGAUCUAAUAAGGUGAGAUAUAAUAAUUUUUAAUUAGUCUAAUAUGGGACUAACUAAUAUAGGUUGAGUAGAACUUGGCCUAUGAUAAAAAAAAAACUUUAUAAAUAGUGCUAAAAUCUCUUUUAUAACCUUGAUACAUAAAUAUCCUUACAUAAGGAGGUUUGUUAAACUGAGGUAGGGAGCAAUCUCAUUGAGCUAAUAAUACGAUGGCAAUAGUGAAAAAGUAUUUGAGCUUUGAAUCAUCGCUAUUCUACAUCUCUCUUUUGCUCGAUAAUAGGUGUUAUUUAUUCUAGCUAUAGAGAUGACUUCAAAAUCAUGUGGGCAAAUCUCUUUUACUCGAUUACAUGUGUUCUUGAUUCUGGUUAUGGAGAUUAAUUUCAAAUCAAGUACGCAAAUCUCAUUUACUCAAUUAUACGUGCUCUUGAUUCUAGUUAUGGAGAUCUUUGGUGCUGUUUUAACAACUUACAAUGUCAUCAUUAAUUGGCUUCUGAAGAAGGGUCCAUUUGUCUUGUGUCUACAUCAAUUCUCCGACAAAAGGAUGACUGCAAAGGACAUAGAUAAUAGAGUAGAAAAGAGAGCUCAAGUGACGAGAAGUGAGGCUUGGAAGGUUUGUGCAUAGAGUAAGUCCAUUGAGUUGAGCUGUUAAAUACAAUGGGUAUAUUAAAACUAGGAAAUAUUCAAGUGUGUGAGCGUUUGUAAUUCUAUAAUUCUUCUAUUUCUUAGCAGAAUAUUUGUCGAUUUUUCUCAUGGAUGCAGGUUUUAACAUUCAAAUUGAAUCAUGUAAAUGUCAUGUAUCCUUCUAUUAUUUUUCGUUUUAUACGUUUGUCGAUUUCCAUAGCUUCUAAUAUAAUUGCAAAGUUACGACGUACUUCAGUCACGUCACAAUUUCUCUGACCUCCAUUUCCCCCGUGUGAUGGUGUUGUCUUAUAGUUAUAGUGAAUGGAGGGCCGCCGAGGGCGAAUAAAGAAUUUCGAUGAAGUUGUCGAGGGAGGUGAUAGCGAAUGGGACCUGUUUUUCACAUUUUUGCGGGCAGUGGAAGAAGCUGUCCUUUUAUGCAGUCCAAGGAAAUCCCAUAAAUUGUGGCGAACGAAUCAUGACAUCGUGGAGCAAAUCAAGAAACGUUUUUUUUUUCUUUUGAAAAUCAUCCCUUCUCUGUCAAACUUUUUUCGUUUCUUCCCUAUUUGUUUUUUGGCUCUUCCAAUGCACUAGAAUCUCGUUGUCUGCUAAAUCCAUAUUGGCCGAAAAUAUGUUUUAUUGCUUUCCAAAUUUUCUCAUGUGCAUUGCAUAUGGGAAUUUUGGCCACAAUAUGGUGGACGAUGGGCUUGGCCGAAUUUUUUUGUUUUUUGACAGGCUUAAUCCAGAUUAUUUAGCUCGAAACCAAUCUGUGCAAGUCCACUAACUCAGGUCCAAUUCAAUUAUAUGAGUUUAAUAAUGCAUAAAAAUGCAAUUAAUAUGUAGAUGCAUUUAUUAAUUUUCGGUUAGAGAUCAGUGCCGGUUUCUCAAUUUUUUUUUUUUUUUUUACAACAAAUAAUCAGACAAAGUUACCAAAUUUAGGUGCCAGCAGUUAUCUGUUAAAGUUUUGUGCGCAUUCUCAAGGGAAGCCGGUAUUUAACAAAUGUGUGAAGCGAAGCAAAGGGAAUUAAGGCCAAUUCUUCCACACUCAAAGUAAAAACAUUUUUCUUCACAGUAAAAAUCAUUUCAUUAGGAGAGGGAAAUGAGAGGUUUGAGUAAAAAUAUGCCACCGACUGAGGAUCAAAUGAUUCGUUCAGAUAACAAAGUUUGGUCAGUUUAAUAUCAUCAUAAUAUUUUUGAGAUAAACAGCAUAUGGUUUUCAAAAUAAUGGAAAUUAACUAUCCUGCGAAGUAUGACUCGUCUAGCCAGUCGUAAAUCAUAGAAUUCACUGUGUUUCGACGACAGAAAGAAGUGAGAUUUGAGAGAUUGUACUUUGCAAACACCGAUGGAGGAUGAAAGUUGUCGUCCUUUCAUCGUCUUUCUUACCCUCCAGACGACUUUCCGAUUCUGGUUCCACUAGUUCUUGUGGACCAUUUGAUGGUUCUUCAGCAAUCUUUUCUUUGCCUUUUUGAGAAGUAUAUGCCCUCUCUGGUUGACUCUGCACAGAAGCUUCUAGUUAAGGAGUAGGGUUUGAGUAAUUUUCAAUUUCGCUCAUAAGAAACUGAGCAGAUGUCGUUGACUAGACUCAAAAUAUCCUCCGCAUCUUUCUCCUUGAGUGCAUUCAGCAUGUUUCUUACUACGCUGGCGUGGUCAAACCUUGGUGAGUGAAUAGUUGGAGGUGUUUCUGAAGCAGGUACAGAAACCGGUCCAGAAGAUGGUCCUGGAAUUGGAGUUUUGGGUAAAGAAGUAAGGAGGUUUUUUUGGCUUAAAGGGGAGUGUUCCUCGAAUGUCUAACGAGAGGCGUCUCUUCACUCUCGUGUUCCAGUGAUAUCGAUGCUCCUCGUCCCCUUGGAGCAGAAGAGAACACUGCCGUUCUUCUCUGUGAUCUUCUCAGCCCAAUAUAUCUCUUAGAAACAGUGUUUGCAACGUUGGGUGCCAUUAGAGAGGAUGAUUAUUCGCAAACAGAGUGAGGUUGAAGAAGAUUUCUGGGAUAUAUUAGAAGGAUCGUGAACGAGGGUUUUGUGAACGAAAAUUUGGCAACGCUUCAAGUGUAGAAAGAAGUGAUUUUGACAGUUCCGAAAAAGGUUUGAAUUCAGAAAAAAGUAUGUUUGUCGAAUCUCUAACAGGCUACUAUAGAUGGAAGCGAGAAGAGGGGAUAGAAUCUCACUUUGUCAUUUGUAGAUGUAAUUUCACUAAAUGACAACAACGGUAGUUCUAGAUCCGUCCCAUUAAGAUUGCAACUUAAGUAUAGGGCCCCUUUGUUAAGCUUCAAUUGAAACUCAUUCAUAGGCAACGGCUAUGCGUAUUUAUUAUGAUUGCUCGGUCUUAAUGUACAACAACCGUCAUAAGGUCAUGUCAAAAGCCAAUUUUCUAUUUGUAGGCGUUGGAGGACAACUAUAAAUGGAUAGCGAGUUUGGUGCGGUCUAGUUAGACCUGUGCCUACAAAUCCAAGCCACCCUAACCAAACUUAUAUUGAUUUUGCAUUAGCGACGCCCUGUCAAUUAGGGUGACUGAAUUCGGGGGGAAUUAUUUCUGCCAUAUCUAGGGGGUGUGUCUCCCUCUACACAGGAUUUUGUGAUCUUUGCGAUCGAUAGCAAGAUUGAUAAAAAUCUGCCUUUAUGGAUGAUAAAAGACAAAUAAUCAUCUAAUAGAAUUUGACAUUGACAUGGCUUUAAGUGAAAUAGUAAUGAUAUCAUUUUGUCUAGAAAAUCAUCUAAUACAACCUUGCCAAAAAGUAAAUGUGGCAUGCGGGUGUAAAUUAAGGGUUUUGAUGUCACAAGAAACGGUUUAGAGUAAAUAUGUUAUGGUUUGGAAUUUUUUUAUGUCACAAGAAAAAUUCGGUCUAGAUAUGUCAUUGUGGAUAUAUUUUGGGAUUUCUUGUGACUUUCUUCAAUUUAAAAUUAAUAGUUAUUAUAUAUAUAAAGGGGUUAGGAUUGGAGUACUAUAUGAGAGAACAAAGAAGUAUAAGAGAUUAACAAAUUUAUAAGAACAAGGAAUGUAUGAAGGAUGUAUAAAAACUUAAAUAAAAUCGCGAGAAUUAAAAAUAAUGUAAAGACCAAAGGCAAUAUAUAAAAUAUAAAGUAACAAUAUGCAUAAACAAAAACUAACCAUGAAGGUGGUCUGAACUUGUAUUAAAUAAACUGAAAAUUACAUGUAUUGAAAAAUACAGAAACUAAAGCAUCAAGUCAUCCACUAGGGCGGUAAUCCGUACUCCAGGGAGUAUUGAUGUUUGUAUUACAAGAAAUGGUUAACCAGCUAUCAUAUAAGUUGGUAACCCUACAUAAAACUAUGUAUUUGAAAAAUUAACUUACUUUGAAACCAGGGGUACAAGGUAAGAAAGCUUGAGGCUUGAAAGGAUGAGGGUUUGCAAGAGGGUGAGGAGGAAGAAGAGAGAAGAGAGGUCUGAAAAUUUCGAGCCCCCUUCUUCUAUGCCAAGAGGGUGUAUUUAUAGGAGGUGCUAUAGUGAAAGUACUACAGUGCUAAACAGUGUGAAAUGAACAGUACUGAGUGAACAGUUUAAAGUGAAUAGUGAACAUUGUGUGAACAGUGUAUGCUUAUCAUGCUACAGUGUAUAGCCUUUGCGCCGUUGUAACAGUGUUAGCAUGUGAUGUCUUGAGUUUAAUCUCUAUCUAGGUUGAUCCCGUAGCAGUCGUCUUCAUUGGUGUUUUCACUGUGAUGUGAUUGUGAGGAUCUGUCUGUAUUGUCUUGAAAUUUGGAAGAUCCACAUUGUGAUCCUUCAGCUUCGAAGAGCAUUGUUCUGAGGAUGUUGUAGUAUUCCUCAUUGCUUUGGAUUGCAGCCAGUGCUGCAAUUGCAAUGGAUUUUUCUUGUAAAAAAGAUGUAUUUAGUGGGACUGUGGUUAUUUAAUUUUUCUGGCUAUUUAGCCAUGUCCUAACCGCAACUUCGGAUCAUUGUUCAUGAAAUUUGAAUCCGUCCCACCAUUUUGUUUUGUAUUUUUGGACAAGUACUGGUACACUCGGUUUAGUGGAUGUAUUGUAUUCGAAUUCCCAUGCGGUUACCCAGGAGAUUCUGAAUAUUAUAAAGAAAUGCAUAAGGCAUUGGAACCUUAUAUCAUGCGGUGUUGGUACGAAGUAUUCACUGAAAACCUUGUAUCCUUGUUUGACUGUGGGGUGUAGUAUUAUGUCCAAAGGACCAAAGAGAUCCCACCAAGAGUUAAACCAGUUGGGUAGGCUUUGUCUUGGGAAGUUGUCUUUAAAAAAUAAUAACCAGGUGUAUUGGAAAUUUGUAUUUUGUUUGAAGAAGACAUUCCACCAAGCUUGUUGGUAGUCCCAGUAUGUAUAUGAGGAGGAGUAUGGUAGGCUUUGGGUAAGUUUGGUUUGGAAUUUUUUGGGUGUAUGGGGUGAAGCUCCCCAGGGUGAGGGGUGAAGCUCCCCAGGGUGAGGGGUGUAUGACUUUACUGAUGGAUAUAGUGGAGUAUAGGAUAUUUUCUGUAUUGUUUUUGUCAGCAAAGUGAGUGAACCUUGCCGAUUCUGUUUCUACUAGAAUUUGCUCAUAAUAAGCAAGGGUUUUGUUUGUAUUGUGUGGUUUGAAGAGCCAAUUUUUUGGAAAUAUGUUUUUUGCAAAUUUGAUUGGAUCUUCAUCGAAGAAUCCAUCUUCCAAAGUCAAAAUUUUUUGAAAAGAUAUUUUGGGGAAAAAUUUUGAUUUAUGAGAAUGAGGGGUUGCCUAUGGCCUAAUGACCAUCUUAUUCGAAAUUAUUUUGUAUUCCGCUUGUUUUUGUGUAGCAAGCGGGGAAUGAUUGUUUCUUACCUCGAUGACACUAGAUGGCUCUUUCUUUACUGUUUUUUGUAAAACCUGUGCAAGUAACAAUAUUGUUUCUUUUGGUAGUAUGUCAGCUAGCUUAUUAAAGGCUAGCAUGAGUUCAGAUGAUAUGGGUUCUAUUUUCAAAAGUGUUUGGUGUUGUUGUAAGAAUGACUGAUUGUUUUCUGCCAUUUGGAGCCAUGUCUUGAUGGGUGUUAAGCAUGUUGGCUUUGGUGGUGUAUUGGAGGGUUCAGCAAUGGCUUUACCUUUAUCUUUGUCCUUUUUGGAUCUUGGCAUAUUGGUAUCCCCUGUAAAAAUUCUCUUGUGAGAAAAUCAGGUAAUGAAUUUGAAGAACCAUUUAUAAAUUCAAUGUCAAAAUCAAAUAUUGAAAAUGUGGCUUGUCAUCCGGCCAAAAUUUGUUUUGAUGCAAUGUUUAAUACAUCCUUUUGUAAAAUGUCUUUGGCUGAUUUGCAAUCAAUUCUUAAGAGAAAUUUUUGAUUUAGUAAAUCUCCUUGGAAUUUUGAUAUAGAUAAAACUAUAGCAAGUAUUUCCUUCUUGAUUGUUGAAUAAUUUUGCUGAGUGGAAUUCCAAUAUUUUGAUAUAAAAUGAACAACUUGUUCUUUGUUGUUUUUAACCUGUUUAAGAAUACCACCAUAUCCUAAUUCUGAAGCAUCAGUCUCAACUAUUUUGAAAGUAGAAGGAUCAGCAAGAUGUAAGCAUGGUAUAUCUUUCACAUGAAUUAUUAUUUGUUUGAUAAUGUUAGUAUGGACAGAGGUCCAUGGUGGAGGAUCCUUUUGUAACCGUUGGUGCAAGGGUUUACAAAAGAUAUUUAUAUUAGGGAAGAAAUCUAAAAUAUAAUUGAGACUACCCAAGAAUCUUUGUAGUUGAGUUUUGUCUUUAAUCUCAUCAUGGAAUUUAUCAGUAAAAGAUAUUGAUCCUUCUAUGGGAGUGAUGGUGCCUAAAUGAAUGUAAUGACCUAAGAAUCUAAUCUUGGUUUUGAAGAGUGCACUUUUAGUAGGAGAGACUACAUGACCGUUUUGUAUGAUUAUUUUUAUGAAAGUAGAUAAAUGUUUGAAAUGUUGUUCUAUAUUGGAAGAGAAUAUUAGAACAUCAUCUAUAUAAACUCUGAUGUAUUUUGAAUAAGGAUUAAAUUUCGUUCAUAAUUCUUUGGAAUUCUAAAUGGGCAUUUUUGAGGCCAAAUGGCAUAAUAUUCCAUUCGUAUUGGCCAAAAGGGACUGUAAAGGCUGUUUUGUAUUUAUUUUUUUUACUGGCCUGUAUUUGCCAAAAUCCUAACUUCAUGUCAAAUUUUGAAAAUAUUUUUGAUCUACAAAGUCUGUUUAGCAAAUCUUUUUUAUUGGGUAUAGGAUAUUUUAUCCAUCUAAGGGCUGUAUUAAGAGGUUUAUAAUUAAUAACUAACUUGGGAACUCCUCUUUCUAGUUCAGCAUUUUUAUUGACAUAAAAAAACAGAGCAACUCCAUGGUGAUUGGCUUUUUCUUAUGAUUUUUUUUAUUUAAGAGGUCUUGUAUUUUUGUUUGGCAAAAUUUUAGAACUUCUUGGUUCAUUUGAGUAGGACAAGCUUUUGUGGGUAUUUUGUUUUCAGAAAAAUCAUGUUCGUAGGGUAAAUCAACAAUAUGCUUCUUUCUUUCCAAAAAACCAUUGGGUAAGGUAGAGCAUAUGGUUUUUUUUUUUUUUUUUGUAAGGAAGCUAUUUUUUCUAUAACAUUUGGCUUUAUAAGGUUUUCUUUUAUUCUUUUGAAUUCUAAAUCUUCUUUUAAGAAUUUAAGCUGGUUUUCUUUGUCUUUUAUAAGGCAAUUUAUUUUAGAAAUAGAAUGUUCUUGUAAAAUAUUUAGACUUCUCUUUUGUGGUUUUGUUAUGAAGUUGAAAGUGAUUUUUCUGUUUAAAGCAUAAGUUUCAAUGCCUUCAUUAGUAACCGUAAAAGAUUGGAUUAAUUGCAUGAAAAGUGUUCCAAGGAUUACCUAUUGCCUCAUAUUUUUUACUAAAAGAAAAUAUAUUUUGUAGGACAUUUGAUCUUUUAUUAUUAAGGCUUAUGGUAAUUUGUAUUGUAUAUUUAGUUUGUCUCCUAAGGCUGAUUUUAAGGAUUCUGAUGUUUUAUCAAAGUAUCUUGUAGGAACCAAGCCUUCUUUGAUACAAUUGAGAUCAGUUCAUGUAUUAAAGAGUGCCGUUGUUUGGAUAAUAAACUCAUUGUUGAUUUUUAUCAUAAUAUUUAUUAUCCAUUUUCUAGAUGUCAUUUAUGUUAAUAACAUAAGAAAGGCUAGGUCCGAAGUGUCAGAAGUAUUGGUGAUUUCAUUUUGGUCUUCUGAUUUUGUCUUUCCUUUUAUGACAAGGGAUUUUAUAGAAGAAAUUUCUUGUUUCAUUUCUAACUGUGUUGUUUUCGAGACUUGUAUUUCUAAUUUUUGUUGUUUUAUUUCAUUUUGAAGGUCAUUAAUAUUUAUGUGUCUAGACUGGGGUUUUUUUGUUUCUAUUUAAAAUGUCUUUUAGAUUGUAAGAAGUAUUAGGAUUAGAAACAAUGUUCAUCGAGGAAUGAAGUCUAUCUAAGUAUUCUUUUUUGGCUUCAGGGUCAGUUAUUUUGUCGGCUGUGCUAAGGAGAAAUUCUUCUUCUUUUGUUAACAUAUUUAUUUCAGGAAUAGGUUUGUCAGGAGAGGCAUCUUCAUAAUCAGAAUCGGAAGAGGUUUCUAUUUCAUUAAUCUGAAGACCUUCUUCCUCAAGAAGUUCAUCAAAUGAAGUAUCACCAUUUUCUAUGAGGAUGUUGUUUAGCUGGUAAAGAGGAUUGUCAUUUAAAGAAAGUUCAUUCAAUUUCUUGUUAAUCCUAUAAUAUUUUGAAAUAUGACAUUUUCUACCACAAGAAUAGCAUUUGAUGUCUCUAAAAAUUUUCUUAUCCUUCUGAGGAUUAUUCUGGUUAAUAUGGUGUCUACGUUUAUUCCUAUGAGGUUGAGGUUUGUUGCGAUGUCUCUUUGUUUCCUUUUCAGAAGGACAAGUCCCUUUACAUUUUGGCUUUGUUUUUUCAUUAUAAGAGGGGUCGUACUAGGCACAGAAAUCUCCUAGGCUUCUAUUGGUGAGAGAUUAUUCUUCCUUGAGUUGUCUUUGUAAUUUGAUAGUAUUACAUAUUUGUGUUCCUUGUCUAUAAACGUAGGAGACUAUUUCUCCGUAUAAAAGAAGAUCAUAAGGAAUUUGGCCACUGUAUUCUUCUCUAAUUUUAUUUCUAACUUGGUCACCUAUAAUUUGGGGUAAACCUGCUAAGAAUUUUUCUUUCCAAAAAGAUUGAUUGCAGUCAGGUCUUAUAAGAACCCUUUGAAGGAAGAGUUCUUUGUAUUCUUUAAAUCUCCCUAAGGAUUUACAGCGCAUAUUGGAUAAGAGAUCUUGGUUCCUAUCUCUAAUAUGUGAAGGGUCUCCUAUGAAGUGUUGUGGAAUGGAAUAGAUAAGAGUAUUGACCACAUCUUGGAUGAGAUGUCCUUGAUCAUCAUCCAUGCGUUGGCCAAAGUCAUCGAUUUUAUAGGCAGUUAAAAUUUGUAUUCUUUGUUCAUCGGUCAAAUAAUUAUCCCACCAACCUUUUAGUUGUCCAGUAAAUCCGGCUACUAAAAGAUUAGCAACAACAUGGUCAAAAAUAUAUUGCUAUGUUUUGUAGGCAUUAGCAAGCAUUACCAUGUUGUUUAGUAUGUUCAUAAUAUUGGCUUCAACUACACCAUCAAUAUUCCAUUCAUAAAUGGCAUCAGGAGAGUAUUUAUUAUGUAUUUUUUGUGAUGAUUCUUCUUAGGCAAUGUUUGGUGGGGGUGGCUCUACUAUAAUAAAGUUUUUGAGGUUAUCUCCAAUUGAGUCUGUUUACCUCAGCGGUCGAUUCACUAUCAAAGUCAUCAGAGGGUUUAGUCAAGCUACUAAUAGUGGGUUGUUCUAGAGUAUCAUUAAUAAUAAGUCCUUGGAAUUUAGGAGUGUCUAAUAUAGGUGUAGGUUCUAGCUUUGGUUUCCCUAAAAGCUUUUUCUUUUGUUCUAUGGCCUUAACAAACUCUGAACUAAGGUUUUUUUGGAAAUUCAAAGGCUUUGAAAAUGGGUUUUUUUUUUUUAGUGUAUCAACUUGUGGUAUGAUGAGUUGAGUAGGAUUCUGGAUGGUGGAUUCUAUCCUAUUUAACUGUUUUCCUAUGGUAACUAAAUGUUGAUUAGUAUAAUUGUUUUGUUCAAUAACUUUGUGAGUAUAAAGAGAGUCUCCUUUGUCUGGAAGCCUAAAAGGUGUAGCGGUAACCUCACUAUCUCCAUGUUGUAUUUUUAUUCUCCUAAGGGGAGGAUGAAUGGAUUCUAUGGUUUCCCCAUUAUCAAGUUUCCACUUAUAAUGAUGAUCUAAAACAAUUAUUUCUUUUGGUUCGAGGAAUUGUUCUUCUAACCAAUCAAAGAAAAAUAUAUGGACUUCAUAUCCAUACUAAAUAUAUCCACGAAAACUCCAAACUAAAUAUAUUUGUGAUAAAUUUACUAAAUACUAAUUCUUUUAGCACAAAAAAAUCUCAAACUAGCACACCCAUGACAAAGUUACCCUAAGCUAAUUAUUUGAUCAUAAAAAAUCCCAAACUAGUACAUUUAUGACAAAUUUACCCAAUUUUAGUUUUCAUUUAAUUGAAUUAAUAUCAUAAAAAAUCACAAAUCAGUACAUUUAUGAUAACGAAGGUUAAAACUCCAAACUGGUAUAUCUGUCAACUGUUACGUGUCAUCUAACAUAGCAAUUUGUGGAUAAAAUUUAACAGAAAUUAAUAAAGAGUAAAUUUGUCAUGAGUACACAAGUUUUAGUUUUUUGUGGUCAAAAAAUUAGUUUAGAGUAAAUUUAUCACAUAUGUAUCGGUUUUGGGUUUUUCAUGACAUUAACCCAAAUCAUUUUGAUGGCAGACAUAACGAUAUGCCAACUAACAAACAAAAUUUAUAACAUGAAUUGAAUCAAUUUAAUGGUCUUCACAAAAUUGUGGUACAAUACUAGAAACAGUUUUUGAGUGAUAAUUGUUUUUUUUUUUUUUGGUAAAGUUUUUGAGUGAUAAUUGUUUGUAAGUUCUAAACCUAUUUAAUGGCCAAUAUUGUUAUAAACUUUUAGUUUUAUCAAUUUAGCUCUAAAUAUUUUGACAAUUUUUCAAUGUAGUCUAUAUGUCUAAUUUUUGCCGGCAAUGGUUAAUGUGACCCUCUAGUUAGUACUAGCCAUCUUACAUUGUAGCGCUAACAUGGAAGAUUUUUACAAAUUUUUUAAAUUUUUGAUUUUUCUAUUCUUUUCUUUUCUUUAUUUUUCCAUUGUCCAUCUUCCUGAUAGGGCUAAUGCCGAUGGGACCUUGAAGAUGGCCGAUGCAAAAUUGAAAAAAUAAAAUAAAAAGAUCAGACAUUUAAAAAAAAAAUCACAAACAUAGGACAAUUAACGUCCACCAUAGCGAUUUCCGACCCAUAUUGACCCGGAGGAUUAUAUUAAAGAAGUCAUCAAAGGUUUAUGACUACUUUAGUCAAACUAAAAAAUUUAAUAUUGAAAUAGCAUUGUACAAUAGGUUCGAGAGUCUUUAGAUAAUUUUGCCUUAUUUUUCAAAAGAUAAAAAGGGGAUAAGUGCAUUAGAAGUUCUAAAACUUAUCAUGAAAGUACGAUUAAGUUUUAAAACUUUCAAAAAGUGCAAUUAAGUCAUAAAACUUGUCAUCAAAAUGCAAUUAAGUCUUAAAACUUAUUACGAAAGUACAAUCGUGUCCUAAAACUUUCAAAAUGAGUUAAUGGAAUGACUUGAAUGAAAUAAUUAUACAGUUUUAUGACUCAAUUGCACUUUUGAAUUGAGGACUCAAUUGGACUUUUGUGACAAAUUUCAGGACUUGAUUGCAUUUUUUUAAAGUUUUAGAAAUCAAUUAUACUUUUGUGCCAAGUUUUAGAACUUUCAAUACACUUAUCCAGAUGAAAAAGUAAAAACUUAUAGAAUUUUUAUGAUAUUUGGCCAUCAAACUAUUUCUCUUUUGUCUACUAAUGCUGAUUUCCUUUUAUUAGGAGACAAUAGGUUUUUUCAACUCAUUUUAGAAAAAAAAAAAGGAUUUAGUCAAAAGAUGCAAAAAAUUUUAGGAAUUGAUUUUACUUUUUGACAAGUUUCGGGACUUAAUUGCACUUCUUAAAAUUUUUAGGACUCAAUUAUACUUUUAUGACAAGUUUUAGGACUUUCAGUGCACUUAUUUGGAUAAAGAAAGUCAAAAGUUAUAGGAUUUUCAUGAUAUUUGGCCAUCAAACUAUUUCUCUUUUGUCUACUAAUGCUGAUUUCCUUUUAUUAGCAGACAACAGGAUUUAUCGACUCAUUUUAGAAAAAAAGAUUUAGUCGAAAGAUGCAUAGAGAUUUCUAAUCUCGAUGAUAUUUGAAUGCAUGGGUGGGAUCCUUCGAGAAAUUCUGAACAAAUCCUAAGCACGAGAUUCUUUUUUAUGCAAAUCAAUAAUCGCAUUUCCAAGGCUAUAGACUUUUUUCCAUGACUGGUGCUUAACAACACCACCAUCUAUAUAAAGCGGGGUUAGCAUACUAAGAGACUCGCUACAACUUUCGCAAUGGCUCUUCCUGCUCUGUUCACAAGUUUCGUCCCUUCCUCAAUCAGCCAUAACCAACCCUCUCUCUUGUCCUUCAGACACCCUCGCUGCUCCUCCUCCUCCUUCUCCUCAGGCGCUAAAUCGGUGACAUGCGCCGUGACGAUCGAGAAUCCAAAGAUCGUGAGACGGUUGGCAAAUUGGAAACCUAAUGUGUGGGACUACGAGUUUCUUCAGUCACUCGGAGUUGAUUACAUGGUAAUGAUCCUUUUUGGUUUGGCACAAUACCCAGCCUGGCUAUGUUCUAUGGAAAAUGUUCACAUCUCGGUCCUGAACUUUGUAUUCCUUUUUUUCAUUGUCCCUUGAACUUGUGGGAAUUCCCUAUCCAAUUUCUUGGUCUAUGGUUCUGGCAAAUUGAAGCUCAUGCGCGUGUCAAUGCUAGCGGAAAGUAUGAUGCAGAAAACUCGGUACAAGUUUUAAGUUCAAGGAUCAUGUUGAGAAGGGGAAUAAAAAAACAACACAAGUUGAGGAUCGUAUUAUGCUUUUCCCUACUUUCUUUUUACUUUGAUGAGAUAGAGUCCACAACACCCAAAAUGGCAUAGAAACAAAAACGAAACUGUAUUCUGAAUUAGAUAUAAGGAUGUAUACUACUGAGUACUUUUGUAUACGACCAACCACUGCCACUCUAUCAAAUACGACCAACAUAACAAUAUUCCAUAGAGAUACCAAUAAACUUGAUCAAAAUGGCAUAUUCUCAACAAUGCUUACUCUGCUUAUGUAUUACUUUUGAUUAAGAUCUCAUUUUUCUGAAUGUUUUACGUGCCUAGGAGGAUAAAUAUGCCGAGCAAGUCCAAAGGUUGAAGGAAGAAAUCAGGGGUCUAUUCAACAGGGAGAUGAACCGGGUGGCCAAGCUCGAGUUCAUUGAUGCGGUUCAAAGACUCGGACUAGGAUACCGUUUUGAGACGGAGAUAAAAAAUGCUCUCAGUUCCAUCUAUGACAACACCGGAUAUGCUCAGCUUUUGAACGAUCUCCAUGCAGUUUCCCUUGGAUUCCGGUUACUCAAGACAACAUGGAUACAAAAUACCGCAAGGUAUUCGCCAUAUGGUUACCCUUUUGUAAAUCAUGUUGAUGCAUCAAAAGUUACCUUACCGUUCCUUUUUUUGGACAUAUAGAUGUGUUUCAACAAUUUAUGAACAAGACCGGCACGUUCAAUGAAUCACUCAAUAAGGAUGUGAGGGGGCUUCUUGGUCUUUAUGAAGCUUCUUUUCAUGGAUUGGAAGGUGAAACCAUACUUGAUGAAGCGAGGAACUUUGCUUCUAAGCAUCUAAAGGAUCUAAACAUCGACAAAGUUCCCGCUAUGUUAGCGAGCUACGUGAGUCAUACAUUAGAUAUGCCGAUCCACUGGAGGCCAAAUAGGUUGGAGGCUCGGUGGUUCAUGGACAUGUACGAGACACAACAAGACAUGAUCCCUUCCUUGCUGCGAUUGGCUAAAUUAGACUUCAAUCUAGUGCAAUCAGUCCACAAGAAAGAAGUUAGCAAUAUGGCAAGGUAUACGCAAGCACUCUAGAUAUAAUUACAUGCAAACACCAAACCUGUAGGAGCACAUUUAGAUCGACUUAGUUGUUGCAUGGUAAAUUUCUCAAGUGGUGGGUUGAACUUGGCACGAACAAGAUGACCUUCUUCAGAGACAGAUUGGUGGAACACUAUUUUUGGUGUUGCGCCAUGGUCGAUGAACCUCAAUAUACAGCUUACAGGGAAAUGACGACGAAGCUCACUUGUAUGGUGACACUUAUCGAUGAUGUUUAUGAUGUAUAUUGGACACAGGAAGAACUCGAGCUCUUAACAAAUUUUCUUGUUAGGUUAGUGUAAUAUGAUUACUAUCAUCAUUUUUGCUCGUAACUAUUGUUGCCUAGAGAAACGAUAAGCAAUUAAAUAGUCUCUGAAUGACUUAAGGGAUACAACAAAUUUUGAUAGUUCUAUGAUAUAAAUUCUCUGAUGUAUUUUGAACAUAUCACUUUUUAAGUUAGAUUUUUUUUUUCCUCUAUAUAAUUGAUUGGUCUAGGCAAUUAAAGUAGUAGUAAGUACUAACCUUCAUUGUUAUUACUAAAAGUGUAUCGGGUGCUGGUAAAAUUUACAAAAUGUUGAAAUGUUGAUAUCUUAUCUAGGUGGGACAUCACAGAAAUCGAUAAGCUUCCUCCAAUAAUAAGGGAUAGUUACAUGGCCUUGUACAACAUGACCAACGAAAUUGGGCAUUGGACGAUGAGAGAGCUAGGAAUCAACACCAUUCCUUACCUGCAAAAAGUGGUAAUCUUGCUCAAUCUUUCACCUGAUAAUUUCUAGCCCGUGCAAGGCAACUCACUUUUCUACUUCUGACUUUCGUAAUGAAACUUCUAUUUAAACAUUUGAGAAUUCAAAAAAUGUACGAAAGAAGAAUGUCCCUCGGCUUUGUCAUUGACACACUUUUUUUGAAUUUCAAUCCUCUAGUGGGCGGAUGAAUGCAAGGCGUACAUAAAGGAGGUCCAUUGGUACAACAAGGGCAUCAAACCGACACUGAAGGAGUACAUGGACAAUGCGGUGGAUUCAAUCGGAGGGCUGAUUAUGCUGUUGGGCAGCUACUUCCUAACCACGGACAAAUUGACGGAAGAGGGGCUUGAUUACGUGUCGAAAAUUCCGAGUGUCAUGCAUUGCUCUGCCAAGAUCCUUCGACUCAACAAUGAUCUCAGUACCUCAUUGGUAAAUUACUUUGACGUUUACCUUUCUCCUUUUAUAUAAUCGCUUAUGAAGAGAAAGCACAUCAUUGAUGGAUUCAAAAAUACGUGCUAUUCUUUUUAAUAUAUUUUAUGAGAAUCCUGAGACUUAUGUUUGUGAAACAUCAAUCUCAUUCAUGGUCAGUAUGAAUUGGCAUGAGGAGACAACUUCAAGGCGCUAGAAUGCUACAUGAAUGAAACCGGCGCCUCGGAAGAGGCCACGCGUGAGCAUGUCAGGCAAAUGGUGCACAAGACUUGGAAGAGGAUGAACAAAGACGUGUUUGAGGACUACCCACCUUCUGGGUUUGGGCCUUUUCUCGGCGCUUGUCUGAACUUGGCACAAGCUUCUAAGUGCUUUUACCAGUACGAAGACAGACACGGCCUUCCCGACAACGAAACAAAGGACCACCUUGUGAGGGCACUAUUCGACCCUGUGCCCCUCGAUUAGGGUGCAUAUUACCAGCAGAGGUGUCGCUGUUGGCAAGAGCCUAUCGGCUUACGUGUUAUUAUUAGCUUUUGGGUGGGUGGCUCUGGAAGCUCUAAGACUUUGAAACUAUUGUAAUUGAAAC
rnacentral:lncRNA from 1 species